UUUUUUUUUUUUUUUUGGUCUUUAGAGAGAUUUUUUCACAGAAAAAGAAAAAGAAAAACUUUUCUUUUAAUAGUAUCAUGCUCUUUGAAAGUUUUAAACUUCAAAACACAGCUCCCUCGUUUUUUCAUUUUCUUAUUUAUUGGGUUAAAUCAGGUCAACCCAUUUGGGUGCCUAAUCCUAACUCCAACCGUUAUCAUAAAUAAGUGUUUCAAUUAUUCAUUUAUCAUUAAUUUACUUUUCUAACGAAUGAUAAAACUUCUUUAAACUUUCAAUAACCUGACUAAAAUGGCAUCGGACAACUUACAUUUAAUCUAUAUCAUGGAACGGUUUCGUACAAAAAUUACUUGGCAUUAAUGCUUAAUCACAUUGGAGGGCUAACCUAUUUUGUUUGAUACAUUGGACACACUUCAAUUAUUUAUACAGGCAAAUAAAACAAAAUUGUUCAUAAUUUUAUUCCUACUUGCAAAAAUGAGACAACCAAGUAGCCCUUAAAAUACUAACAAGCAUAAUUUGUAGAUUCUUAAGAAUGUAGGAGGCAUACUGAAUAUUGAAUACAUCUUUCAUAUUUUCAAUCAAUUGACUACCUUGUCUUAUAUCCAUAUCUCACAUUCAUAGGGUGGAUUAGAUUUAGUCCACUGAAAAUGAUGAUCACAAAAGUUUAUUAAAACAAAUGUGAGAUUGUGAUGUGAUUGAUACAAUUAUUUUUAUUAAAAAAAAGGGUCAAUUGUAUGAUUCAAAACAUCCAUACAUAUAUUUAAUUAAUUAAUUAUUAUUAUUUAUAAUUCAUGACCUCGAUUUUCCACUAAAGGAGUGGGUGGAAUUCUUGACAACCACUAAAAUAUGUGGGCAAGUUGUACUUUUUAUAUUUAUUUAUUAUUGUUAUUCAUUUUGUCAAUCCUUGAAUUGAUUAAGUCUAUGUUAUGGGAAAGUGCCAAUUUCUCUCUCCACGUGCAUAGCAUAUGACUAAUUUAUUAAAUUAGUGAAGCUUGAGAUCAACCUGCAGCUGCAUAAGGUAGGGAGAUUACAACUUUUGGUUCGAGGAAAUCAAGGAAACCUUUGAAGGAUUGAUAGAAAAGGGUUUGGUAUUAAUCAUUUGUGUAGCUUCUAUGCUUGAUGCUACUACUCCUAUUCAACCAUUAAUAUAUGGUUUUAAUUUUUUGUACUUAAAAUAGUAUUAAUUUGAGAAUGAAAGCUACUUUAUUGGUAUAAUUUGUAAGGAUUUGCGAUUAAUUUAAACAUAGCCGCUCGUAACCCACCAUAGAACCCUUUUUUAUUUUUUUUUCAAAUUCUUUAUUUGUGAAACUAUUUCAUUGAAAACAAGUUUUAUAAAAUUCAAUAUGGUUUUUGGGAUUUCUCAUCUGAUCGCUCCCGUUAAGCCAAGUUUGAGUAGGUGAUUAUGUUAUUAGAAUUCUUAGGUUUAGGACCGACAAGAGAUCCUCGUGAGUCAAGCUAAAAGCGGUAAGAUGUUAUUUAAAUUGACUUUUGAGAAUUAAAAAUUAUUUUUUAAAUUUAAUAAGAAUUUUUAUGUUUAUUUUGUUAUUUUUAUUUAAAACACUUAGUAGAAACUUAAUUUUAGGUUAUAAAAAAAGCCCUUCUAUAUUUGAUAAAAUCUUUAUAAUACCAAUACCAAAAUUUCAAAAUUAUCUUUUACCUUGUGAUGAAAGCCCAAAAAAAAAAAAGGAGUAAUGCCAUGUGAGGCAUAAGAGGCCUUAGCCCACACCCCACCAUUUACAAAGACAACAAAACCUUGGACCUGGGCCUCGGAGCACAGGCCCAAUGGGAGAAGAAUGGGUGGUCCUCUAUGAAUUUGUACGUUACAAUACUUCAUAUAUGGACUUGAAUGAUGUUCUUAAUUGCUGGAUUUUUUUAAAGAUAAAUGGGAUGGGAUAGUCUCAACAUCAUCAACUUCAAAUCAAUAUUUGUUGAUUCAUUUUCCUUUUUCAGCCUCUUGAAUCCCCAUGCACGUAACGGAUGUUGCUCUCACGAUUUCUCACUAUAUAUACAAACCACAGCAUACAUGCUUCCGCACUCGAUCGACAUGGCUCUGAUGCUGAAGCUCUUUCUUUUCACUCUUCUCUCUGCAUGGAGCCUGGGAUCCAUGGCUUCCGCACGGUACCUGGACAAGAGCUUCAGCCUUGCUGCUCGAUUACAUGCGGACGACGACUCAUCAUCCAAGUGCUGGGAGUCUUUGCUUGAGCUUCAGGCAUGCACUGGAGAGGUUGUCCUGUUCUUCCUCAAUGGUGAGACUCACCUUGGGGCCGGCUGUUGCCAAGCCAUUCAGACCAUUGAGCACCAAUGCUGGCCUGCCAUGCUUACUUCCAUUGGUUUCACUGCCGAGGAGGGCGACAUCCUCCAAGGUUACUGUGAUGCAACCACAUCCUCUUCGGCUCCCCCACCACCACCACCACCACCAUCCAUGGAGCCUAAUGACGUGGUUACCUUGGGUGGCUUUUUCCUCGAUCCUUAGUAGAACGCGUUCUUACUAGCAGUUAUGUCUUUUACAUAUAUCUGAUCCGCUAGUCUAAAUAUAUACAGAAAAGGGUGUUUGGAAUUAAUGAAUGAUUUCCUAUAUAUUGCCCCAUAUUUGUUGCAAUUAAAUUCCAUUUCUUGCUUGAAAAAAAGGUAUAAUAAUUUCCCAUCAUUGAUAGCACUAGUAGUUGUCUUUUAUGGGCUGGACGAGACACACAGAUCGACCCACAAUUCUGCUUACCCAGCCCAUGCUCAGUGGUUUGGACUAACAUAAUUGGAGGCCCAAAAGGGAUAUCAAUAAUAAGAUAAUGUUUGGAAGAUGAGUCUAUUUUUGUAUCUAGAUAAGACCAACUCAUCCCCCUCUAAUUAAUGGAGAGGUAACGGCGUGAAGGGCAAGAUUCUCAAGGACUCAAAAGCCUUUUUGCUUUGAUUUUCCAUCAAGGCAUCAGUGCCAUACACAUAAGUCCAUAAGGUAAUGAAUAAGGAGCGUCAAAUCAGGGUGGGAUGCGAAUAUGCGGAUUGAAAGCCAAGUAUUGAUUUUAGUGGUAUGAGGUGGGUCGUGUAUGGAUGGUGACAUCUAACUAUAAGUCUCUCAAAAGACUUCAAACUUCCCCCCAUCUCCGCCUUCUUUCAUGCUCUUUCCACUCUUCUUUUAACGUAGUAAUUUUUUUUCCCUUUGGGUAAUUAGGAUCUAAGCAUGGAAGAAGAGAAUAUUCGGAUGAGUGUUUCAAGAGUUCUUGGCUUUCUACACAUUGUUACUUCAUUUUCAAGCUGAGGAAUCAAUUGGUCAUUUGUUAUGUGCUUGUUUGUGAUCAUUGGGAAGCAGAUUUAGGGUUUUGAAAGGUCAAAUGCUAAUCAACAGAAGAAGAAAUUUACACCCCAUGCCAACAUAAAGAGAUAAUUGUGGUUAGGAUAGAUUUCAUAUAAUUAACUUCAACUAACUUCUCAUGACCUGCCAUUCCUAGUCAUCAUUCAGUUAGUUAUUUCCUUGCUAUGCCCAUGAUCGAUGCAUCGACCGUUUGCCACUUGUUUUCAUCCAAAAACCUGUCAUUUUCUCUCCGAUCUCGAUCCACUAGAAUGGAUCAAACUGGAUUCUUUCUUCCUCUGGAAUAAUGUAAAGCUAGACUAAAAUUUUAUACAUUCCUCUAUUGGUUGAUGGUUUAUUAAUGGUGAGAUAUCUUGUACAAAUUGAAUCAUCAAGGUCAUUGGAGUGGUGUCCUUGUUGACUAAUUAAUGGGUCCAUGUUUCAUGAUCAUAAGGCCAUCUUGCAUGAUUCAAAUAUACCCUAUUGAAAUGGUAUACAUACACAUGCACAUUGUUCAAAAACGCCCUAGAAAAAGGAAAGGAGGAUAAAAAGAAAUACAAGUCGUCCACUAGUGCCAUAUGUGGAAAAGUAGUGAGCAUACAGAUCUCAACUCCCCUAGAGAAAAUUGUCCUCGUAUGGAACCUCAACAAUGAAUUCUAGAGAAAGCUGUCAAGUGAUCACAGUCCAGAUGAAUCUUGAUUUAGAAGUUAGAAAAAUGAAGGGUUGUUAGGUUAGGGUAGUUAGUCAAUGGCACAAAGAUGUUAUCUUAAAAGUUGUGGAGGAGAGGAGAGGAGAGGAGAGAGUCAGAAAAAAGAAUGAACCUAUCAGAAGAAAGUAAGAAACAUCAAACUAUAAUCUUAUUAACAUGGAACGAUAAUCAUGAUAAAGCCACACAACAAGGGUUUCACAAGGACACACAGAGAGACCCAGGAAACAAGACACAAACUCAUCCAACAUAGCUCAGACAUAGAAAUUAUUUAGCAUAGUUGCUCACUGGCAAUUGUAAAUCUAAUUACACAACAAGCACACAUGCAUGCGUCUAGAAAAGAUGGUGAUGCUUCUUUCCAUGAGCCUCUUCAUCUUCUUCCUUGGCUUCUUUCUUCUCGUGAUGCUCGUGGAACGCGAACCCGCCAGCUCCCACUGCAGCAGCCGCGGCAAUCUCUUCUUCUAUCUUGUGCUUGUGGGCAUGCUCAGGGUCUUUCUCCGACUUGUGCUUCUCAUGCUAUAAUUCAAGCAUCAUCAAGACGAUAAGAAAUAGUUCCUUUGUAUAAAAUUAAUUAAAACAAAAAUAUUUUCAAACUUCAUGACACACGGGGCAUUACCAAGGCGUAAGCGCCAGCAGCAGCGACGCCGAGCUCGCCGAGGUGCUCGAGAUGCUUGUGGUGCUUCUCCUCCUUCCUGUAGUCAGGGCCUGGGUCAUCUGCUAACACUUCGGUGGUUUCGGCAGCGUAGCCGCUGACACCAUCGGUAGCAUAGCUGGUGUCGGAGUAGGUGGUGUCGGAGUAGGGAACGGCGUCGUCAACAGGCUUGUCCUUGUGGUGGAAGAGGUGGUGGUGAUGCUUCUCCUCCGACAUGGUGGUGGUGAUCAAAUUAGCUGCAGAAACGAGAGAGGAAGAUGGUUUGUGAACUGUGAAGGUGUGAUGUGGGAGAGUGCAGUGGUGGGUGGUGGGGUAUUUAUAAAUGCUGGUUGCGAAGGUGUCCAAAGAUCGUGGGAGAGAUGAAUGGGUAUUGGGAAUGGCCCGAAUGGGUGGGGCCUCACCAUUCACCAUUCUUAUCUACAUUUUUCAAAUCUCGAUGGCUCCUACUCUGUCGAUACUUUGUUUUUGUGUCGGCAAUUUCAUUGGAUCUUUAACCACGACAUUUUUUAACCACAUUUUUAGAUUUCCGUGAUAUUAUCAUAAUUGUUUUUGUUAGUCAUUCGUUGGAUUUAUUUCAAAAGUAGGAAAAUGUUUGAAAAAUAUACAUCAUCAUUUGCGUCUUUGAUCCACUCUCAAUAGGAAAUAAAUAAAUAAGAAAAGAAAACCACAAAGUCUCAGGUAGCAAAGAGUCCAUAUCAAAGUAUCAAACCUUUUUAUCGAUGAAUAUUUUUAGGAAGAACAAUCUAUUAUUUGUAAAAUAAUUUUUAUAUAUUGAGUGAUAACCCUUCAAUUCGAUAUCGUUAGAUCAUUAAGGUCGGCUUUUGUCCCUAUUCGACGGGUGGAUCUUGUAGUCAAACUCCCUUUUACCUUUGCACUCAAGGUCCAUCUUUGUUUUGCUUGAGAAAACCUUUGUUAAUUUCCAUUACCUUUUGAGAGACUUACGCUCUAUAAAAAUUAUUUAUCUAUUCCUUGACGAGGAAAUUCAAAUUCUUUUACUUAAAUUUAUUUUAUAAAACAUUAAAAAAGGUUAAAUAUAAUAAAAUUAUUAAAAAUUUGAAUUUAAGAAAUCAUUUAUUUUUUAAAUUUUGACAUGAACAUAUAUGGGUAAAAAACAAAAAGAGACAAAAACAAAAUAUGUUUUUUUGUGCAGUAAUCAAUUAAAAAAUCACUUUCAAUUUAAUAAAAGAUGUAAUUUUUAAUAUUAAAGCUUAGAGAAAAAAGAAUUGACUUGAUUGGAAUGAAUUACAAAAAUCACACCCCAAUGAAGAGGAACCCCAUACAGCACCUCCUUUCCUUUUCAUAAAGCAAAGACCUUUCAUCAGUAGGCAUGUGAAGGAGGGAAAUGAACUUGGCAGAUUCCACCUUAAAGUGCUAAAACAUGGCACUUGCCCCUCUUUCUAAUCAAACUUAACCCCACCUACAUUAUCUACAUUAUUUAUUGUACAUUAUCUUUCUCCAACUAAUACUAGUAUUUCACAUCUCACAAUUUUUUUAUUCUAUUGGAUGUGAGUCUAUUAUUGCAGUUAGGUCAGCUAAUCAGGAUCCCAUGGAUAAGGUGCCACAUAUUAAUAUUUUAGCCUUUUAGGUGUUGCUAUUCAUCCUCCUUUAUGACUUGGGCUCCAUUUCUUUGCUUGAACCUCACUUUUAGGGUAAUUUCUUUUCUUGGACUAUUAGUUUAUUUGUUGCACAUAAAAAGGCCACUUUAAUGGCCGUCAAACUUUGAUAAAAUAUGUCUUAUUUUGUACUUUAAGGUGGUGUUUAUUUUUUAAUUGAAUAAAAAAAAAAUAAAAAUAUUUGAUUUUUUCUAUUUAAUUAAAAGUAAUUUGUUGAGAUCGUUCAAUGUAACUAAAAUGAACUUGUUAUCAAUAAAUUUACUUUAGUUAUGUUAGACAAUAUUAAUAGGUUACUUUUAAUUGAAUAGAAAUAAAAGUCAUUUUAAUUAUAUUGGACAAUAUUAACAAGUUAUUUUUAGUUGAAUAGAAAAAACUAAAUAUUUUAAUUUUUUUUAUUCAGUCAAAAAACAAACAUCACCUAUAAAAAUUGAUAACUUUUAUAUAUUUGUACUAUGGUAGAUGGGCUUGGCCCACUUGGGCGUAGGGUAGAUAUUUGAAUUUUGAACAGAAAAAAAAAAAAGGGAAAAAAGGAAAAAAGGAAAGGGGAAAGAGAAGGAGAAGAUAAAUCAAUAAAUCAUAAAAGCAGGAAGGAGAGGUGGAAAAUGGUCCUCUGGUCUGGACCAGGAGAAAGUGGCCGGUGAUGGGGCCCAUUGGGUCUGUGUCGGCAAGGCCCCAUUUAUUUCGGCAUCAAUAUACCUGCCUGAUUGGUUCCAUGCCUGCCAUAUGUUUACGCUUUUGUCAAUUAUUAUAAAAAACAACUUCUUUGUCAAUAAACUCUUUAAUUUUUACUUCUCUAUCGUCUUUAAUGGGUGUGAAAAAAGUCAUACAUGCCUAUUGUAUUCUUCUCCUUUUUAGUAGGUAAAAACCUACAGGCUAUCCCUAAACUGAAUUUUAUAAUAUUUCAGAAAAUAUGAAAUUUAUUUUUAAUUAAUAAAAAUUUGGAUUAAAUAUCAAUCAUAAUUUCAUAACUGAUAUGGCCGGUGAUAAAGAACGAGUGAGUCACGCUAGGGCCACGGAUGUAUCACAUUCAUGGUGUGCCUGGGCUUAGUGGUUGAUGUGAAAUAGAUAUAGGUGUAGCGCAUAGUGUAAACGGGCCCAGGGAAAUUCAAAAUCGCGUUGCCACGUUCCAUAGAAAGGACAAGAAAUUAGAAGCUGGGAGUGGUCCACGUCUUCCAGGUAACCCCCACGCUGCUAACGAUUAUUCAAUGCCUUCCUACUCCAAAUCAAACCUAAUGUUCAACAUCGACAUGUCUCAUAUGACACAUCCUUAUAGAUGAAGUUGGUGAACUGUGGAGAAGAGAGAGUAAGGGCGUGUGAGCGGAGAUAAUUCACAAUUGAUUGGCAGGUUUCGGAUAUUUUCUUCGGCUUUGUCCUGGGUUUUUGGAAAGGUUUGAUUGGCCCGACCCAAUCCUACAACCCAUACUAAACCACACAAUCGAAUCCUACGAGAGACCAAACCCAACCUUAAAUCAAGUUCCUCAUUAUGGGCUUCAUAGCCCAACUUAGCACUCCAGCCCAUCCUAACAUUGGGAAAAAUAAAUUAAUGAAAAUUAAGACUAGAUAUGAAUAAUUUCUUUUAUUAUCUUAAACUGCUGAAAGGGAUUAGUUAUCCUACACAGCUUGAACAGAAAAAGAGCCCUCUAAAACUCACCUACUUGAGAUUUAAGGCAUAAAAAAGUCCUUACCUUAAUAAUUGUAAGAGAUCGUUGGAUCAAAUGAUUCAAAUCUGGGACUUGCUCACACAAUCAAUCCAUUUCAUGAGACGAAUUACCAGUGAGGCUCUCUUCACCAUCUACAAGAUUUCGGAUGUAGCGAGUCAAGUAAGAACUUGGACCAUAGCAAAUGCUUGAUAAAAACCCUCCAUACAGUAAGCAAUGGAUGCCAAGCUUAAACAGAUUUUUCCUCUCUUGGUUGGUGUCUCUCUGUGCUUCAUACCCACCAGUACUUUCUUCAUCCCAACUCGAAGAAUCCAUGGCAGUGCAGCCUGAAUGAGCCUGAAAACCCCAGAUCUUGGAAGUUUCCAUCUUUUGCAGCCAGUUGGAAUCAAUGGGAUCUUUAAAUUUUUUACAAAGAUGGUGUCCCUGGAUCAGAAAACUCCAAACUUUUGGUGUAAUACUUGAGACACAGUUAAGGAACUGCUUAGAUAUGUUCUCCAAUCCUCCAUUAUGAGCUUGACUCCCAAAAAAAUUGGCCUCGAAUUCAUCUGCUAGUGAGCACUCAUUGCAUUUAUGACUCUGAAGAGACGAAAGAUUUAGAACAGGCAACCUCCCUUUCACAAAGGAAUUCAAUAGUGAGCUUCUAGCAAGACUUAAAAGGGACUCCCCAGCAUUCAUCCAGAAGUUUGCAAUUGAUGCGAUCAAAGAAGAGUCAGAGAGGAAAAUACGGUGGGUUGCACCUGCAAGCAACAAGGAGUAUGCUGCACUGGUCUUGAUCAAGCUCAAGGCUUCCAGCUCAUCUCCGUCCAUUUCAGAAUGCAGAUCCAGUAAUUGACUAGCACGGACUCUGUAUGCAGAAGCCAGUGUUGUGUAGGCGGCCAAAGAGAGAUGGUGCAGGGGGUGCAACUUGAAAUUUGCUUGUGAUUUUCCCUCAAUUGGUUCUAACUGCUCAUCUGGAAGACCUUGAGCAAUAACAUUCUCAAGCUUCUCACAGCAAGCUUCAGGGUUGCCAACUGACAAAUAGUCAGCUAUAGCAUCAUCUACAUAAUCAGUCAACUUUCUGAUUUCCUCCUCUCUACACAUGUUAUCAUCUAUGUAAUUGAGACUAUGAGCCAAAGUUUCCUAUAGGGAAGAACAGAGAAAUGUCAAUCCUUGUUUUAUGACAGUACUAGAAUUCAGGCACUUCAAUUGCAGAUUAAAAAAUGCUUGUGAAGUUCAGACUUCAGAGUUGAUACAGAAAUAUUGUGAGUACUUCACCGUACAAAGUGGCCCCCGAAAAAUAACCAGAGUGGACAAGGGAAAGGAUAAAACAGGAUGAGAAAAGCUACUAUGAAUUACUCAAUAGCUUUUCCUAGUUCCAAUUGAUAUGGAGAAAAAGACUCCAACUGUCUGUCAGCCUUUUGAGAAGGAAAAAGCAGAUGUAACUAAGGGAGACAACUUGAAGAAACAAAAGAUAUGAAAGGCAAAGAAGAAAAUAAAUAGCACACAUACAGAUUCUGGAUGCAGCUCUAAUUGCAAAUGACGCAGCUGACUCAAGGGAGAGAAGCUCUAGGGCUGGUUUAGUUUGCAAGUUGGACAUAUGUACUUUGGUGUGCCCCUUUUGGCAUUUUAAUACAAUUUGCACUUACCUAUCAAAAAAAAAAAAAAGUUUGCAAUUUGGACAUAGAAAAGGCUUAUGACCAUGUUGAUUGGAAUUUUCUCCUCCCAGUAACGAAAAAGAUGGAGUUUGGUCUAAAAUCGAGAAAGUGGAUUCAUUUUUCCAUUGUAAGGAUGUCAAUCUUAGUCAAUGUUUCUCCUUCAGAUUUCUUUCAGACAUCUAGAGGAUUGUGGCAGGGUGAUCCUCUCUCACCCUAUCUCUUCAUGAUUGUCAUGGAAGCUCUACAUUGUAUACUCUCAAGGGCUGACUAGGGAGUGUUCAUUCAUGGCUUCAAGGUCAGGGGCAGAAGGGGUGAAGGUUUCCAAGUAUUCCAUCUCCUGUUUAAGGAUGAUAGAAAAAUUUGGAUCAACUAAGAUACUGGAGGUGGAUUGUAAUAGGCUUCAAGGUUGUGUUAGGUCUGAAAAUAAACCUGUAAAAAAGUAACUCAUUCUAAUGGGGAAAGUGGAGGAUGUGGUGAGAUCAUCAUCUUUGCUUGGGUGUAAGAUUGGAAGGCUUCCCACUUCUUAUCAUGGUUUGCCCUUUGGAGUGCUUCAUAAGUAUUGCGUUGUAUGGGAUGCUGUCAAGGAAAUGUUUGGUAAAAGAUUGGCUUCUUGGAAGGUGUGGUAUUUGUCAAAAAGAGGAAGAUUAGUUCUUUCAAAGAGCACUUUCUCAAGCUUAUCAAUCUAUUUUAUGGCCUUUUUUUCUAUUUCCAGGAAAGUGAGGAUCAAAUCAUAAAGGAUUCAGAGAGACUUUUUGUAAGGAAAUCUUUGGUAAACCAAUAAGAUGCAUUNNNNNNNNNNNNNNNNNNNNNNNNNNNNNNNNNNNNNNNNNNNNNNNNNNNNNNNNNNNNNNNNNNNNNNNNNNNNNNNNNNNNNNNNNNNNNNNNNNNNAGGAAGAACAUCCAAAGAAAGUGCAGGGAACUGGUCAAGGGGUGGAACAUUUGUGAGGUGAGGGAGACUUCUGGUAUAAGCCUAUGGAAAGACUUAAGAAAAGGUUGGGAGGAAUUCAACCACAGGAUAGCUAUCCAAAUUAAAAAUGGUAGCCAGACAAAAUUUUAGAGGGAUGGGUGGGUGGGUGGGGGGGAACUGUUUGAAAGAAGCAUUUCCUCUAUUGUUUAGUCUAGCUUCUCAAAAGAAUGCCAUUGUUGCAAACAUGUGGGAUGGGAGAGGUAGUGGAGGCCAGUGGGUGCAUUUCAAAAGGCCAUUCCAAGAUUGGGAAAUGGAGGGGGUGUCCUAAUUUUUAGAACUUAUUUAUUCAUACAGCAAAAGUGCAAGAAGAAGGGAAAGAUAUCUUAGUUUGGAAGGAGGAUAGGAAGAGAAUCUUCAGUACUAAGUUGUACUACAGUUCAUUGUGUGCCGAAUUUAGAGUGGACUUCCCAACCAAAGAAAUUUGGGGGCUCCCAAGCUCUUACGAGAUCAUGUUUUCUCACUUGGGAAACAGUAUGGGAGAAGAUCUCAACCAUAGAUUUGUUAAUGAAGAGGGAUGGACAAUGUUAAUAGAUAUAGUCUUUGCAAAGAGAGUGAUGAGUCUGCUGAUCAAAUUUUCAUUCACUGUGCAAUGACAAAGGUAUUAUAGAUGUUUGUUUUAUCAAUUUUUAGUUAGAAAUAAGUUUCUAGCUACAGUGAGGAAUAUGCUUCUCAAGUGGAAGUUUUUAAGGUAUUGGACAAGAAGAGUCACCAUCUUUGACAAAUGACACCCCUCUGCUUAUUCUGGUGUAUAUGGAAAGAGGGAAACCAUAAAAUCUUUAAUGGGGAAGAGCUUGCAUAUUAGAGAUUAAAAGAGAGCUUUAUUAAAUCCCUCUUUGAUUGGUCCAAAGUUCUGUUAGAAAUGGGCAAUUCUGAAUGAUGGCUUUCGUAAAUGGUCUUAGUUGUGGAUAGUUUGGUUUUGAGUUGAGGUUGUUUUUUUAUUCGUUGUUUUGUUUUUUUUGUGUUUACUCCCAGUAUAUGUAAGGUAUGCCCCCUUUCAUUGGCAUGCUCUUUUAAUAUAUUAUCCUUUUGCUUAUCAAAAGAAAAAAAGAAAAAAGAAAAAAGAAAAAUAAAGAGAACACAUAAAUCAGGGGAAGGAUGAAGGAAUUAAACCAAUAGGAAUGAGAAACAGUUGGGUAUAUUUUUUCGACAGAUACUUCAUGCAGCAGGGGCAAGAUGGGGGAAAACCUUACCACUCCUGGUGCCAUAAAUGUGGCAUAUAUGCAUCGUGUUCUAACUCCACACCUAGUACUAUAAUUUUCACAGAAGACGAUCACCCUUCCCCACCCAGCAAAUCUAAAAUCAAGUUGCAAAAUGAAUCUUCUAGACUGCUUUCGGAUUUCUCCUAAACAUCAAAAUAAACAAAUGAUAGGCAUACUGUUCCAUAGAAGUCUUACUUGCAAAACAAGAUCCACAUAAGUAGGGGGCGAUGCAUUACAACGGUUACAGCAACAGGAAAACCAAUACUUCACCCAUAACUCUGCAUGUCUAAUUUCCUGGAAAAUCAAAUCAGUGCAAAUAAAAGCGUAUAACGUGAACUCAAAAAACUAAAAAAAAAACAGAGUAUAGAAGGAUGAGUUGGAACACAUUUUAGCACAAUGCCACUGAGUUCACUUACACUAUGGUGAUUAUGCAAGUAAUAUAAAAUCAUGCAACUUCUCAUUAGGUCGACUCCUUGUCAUUUUUCGCAAUCACUUCAAACAUAAGGCACAAUGCAAUAAUCUAAAAGCUUAAAAGUAAUAGCAGAUAUGCCAAAUUUACAAGCACAUUUUGCACAUUCAAUCUCUUAACAGUGGAACUGUAGAUACUGAAAAUGAAGAUUACCUUAGGCUGCAACAGGUCUAUGUAUGCAACCCACACCUCCUCACCCUUUUUAAUUGCCUUGAUGCUCCGAACGAUGAUUCUUGGCCCGUGUAUGUUGCAUCCUUUACUAGAGAAAAUCAAUUACAAGUAGAUAAUCAAAAUAUCCAAUAAAUUCACAACUGAUUUUUUUGAGAAACCAAAUUGAAAAAAACAUAAAAUAAUUAAAAUAAAAAAGAUUCAAUCACCUUCUAUUGAUUCACUUUUGCUACGAACAGCAUUCUGUAUCUGAAAAACAUUUCGGUUUCAUAAUUUUCAAAUCCUUUGAAUAUGGUUAAAAUUAAAGAAACAAUUCAGAAUUUAGGAAUAGUGAUCUAUUUUUCUUUACUUCAAUUUCAUCAUUGCCUCCAGGGAUAAUCUGGAGCCUCGACUCGCCAGAAAACUGGGGCGUCUCAGGUGAACGGAGCAAGAAACGGUAACAAGCAUUGGGAGAACAGCUGUGAUUGAUCCAAGAGAAGCACCAAUCGUAGACGGCUAUCCCUAGGGCGGACCCUCCAUUAACCUGCACUUCAACUGCAUUGGUGAGGACCAGGCAGAGCAGGGCCUCCUCCAGUUUGGAGUCCCCGGAGAAUUCCGUACCAUCUCGCAUACAUCGGGCAACGGCCAUGGCCUUGCCGCCGUCUCGGAUUCUCGUCAGAGUCUCAUCACUUUCCGAGUUGUGGGAGGGUGAGAUGAGGUGGUGGAGGUUGGUGAGUAGGCCGCAGAUUCGAUGGAGCGGUUGGGUAUGGAGGGGAGGGAGGUGGAGGAUGUGGAGGAGGCGGAGGGCAGCACGGAGGUCGGAGGAGUGAGCGGUGGAGGGGUGGGAAUGGCGGAGGAGGAGGAAGAGGUGGUGCUCGGCGCUGGAGAAGUGGAGGGGGGAGUCGGAGGCGGAGCAUGGUGGAGAGCAGUAGCAGAGAAAGGAGGAACUAGGGUUGGUAUUGACGAGAACAGUGGGCGGUAGAGGUGAGAAACAGGCGGAGCAGUGAGAGCGAAGGUGAGAGUCGUGGAGAGAGGAGGCUAGGGGUGGGAGUGGAUGGGUCAGGUCUAACCCCAUUUCUGUGUCCUCUCUCAUUCUCAUCUCCAUUCUUUACCAUACGGAUUGCAGGCAUUCUCAAUUCUAGUUCUUAAUACUGCUGCUCCCUUCUCCCCCUUCCUAAACCAUCCAUUUAGGAAAGCAGAAAUAUAACCACAGUUUAUUUACUUAUUUAUGAUGUUUCUAAUACACAACACCUGCAAAAAUUAAUGACAAAAUCUGUCCCAAUGGAAGGUAGACAAGAGCACAGACAUCUGAGCACAUAUUUACCAGCCUUAUCAUAUCAACAAACAAUAGUUGAAAUGCCAUUCUUCCUGAGAGUUUGGCCCCUUGAUCAAGACUGCCAUGAAGCAAACCCAUAAUUCAUUAGAGGAGGAUACCAUGUUUACUCUCAUUGGCAGUGGGCGGACCUGGGAAUGAGUCAAGUGACAGAACUCUGAAAACUUGCCUUGAGGAAAUCCCUCAACAAAUCCAAACAUUACUGGGUUGCCUUCAUAAUAAUUAUAAAGAAAACAAAUUCUUCCCAUUGAAUUUCCAGGACAAGUGCAACAGCUGUGCCAAUUUCCAACAGCUUAAACAAUUGAGUAAUCAAAAUUGUUUGUCUCUACAUCAACUGAUGGAGUCCACCGGACCAUGAUCAAAUUUCAUCAUAUUUUACAGAUAAAAUACCAGUUAUUUAGAAAAGCAUGGAUUGUGAUCUUCCUGUGCAGUUUUCCUUCAUCACAUCCCGUAUGCGACUUCAGUUGCUUCAUUACAUCAGUUUCUGAUUUCUAACUUGAACAACUGUAUUAACACCCAAAAGGAAAAAAAGGAACUAAGGGACUAUUUAACAGUUAAGACUAGAAGGGUUUUAGAAUUGAACUGGAAAGGGUUCAAAUAGAGGAAGAAGGAAGAAACUCACCAAAAGAACUAUUGUUUCACUUUUAGUGUGGUCUCAAUGCGCUGGAUGAGCUGAUCUGCAGUCAAAGCACCUUCCUGGAAUUCAUCAGACAGGAAUAGUAACAAAGAAAUUAGAACAUAAAAAAUAAAUAAACUAGUGGCAAUAUAACAACCAAAAGAAAAAUACAAUCAAAAGUACAGUGAAAACCAAGAUAAACAAUUGACUAAGGUGCCACUGUACAACCAGAGGCCCAACCAUGCAUUGUAUAAAUGCGGAAGAAAAUUCUGUAGACAUCAUCUCCUAUGCCAAGGAGAAAACCUUCAUUGGCUAAUCCCAUGAAAAAGUAUAAUUCAAUAGAGUCAAAGUGUGUGAAAACCAAGCCAGUGCUACAAGCAGGAAGCCUAAGAACUGAGUCAUUGCCAGUGUAAGCUUUGCCUGUAAGUAAAGAAGGCAGUUAACAAUCAUGUUACAGGGGCUGCCCAUUCACAGGCACGUGCAAGAUGAAAAUCAUGUGGGCAAUUCAUGACAAUUUCCCAAAAAGGUUUUUUUGUACAAGUGCAUACUAGAUACGAAUUCCACUUACAAAGCGAUCAUAUGGCUUCCCAUCUUUAAAUAUGAUGAAAGUAGGCAAUGCCUCUAUUCUGUACUUAUCAGCAAUGCUCGGGUAUUUCUCAGUAUCAAUUUUCACCACCUGGAUCUUGUCUUUCAGAGAAGCACCGACUUCGUUGAGGAUAGGAACCAUGAACUGACAAGGGCCACACCUGGAAACCAGUACUUCGUUACUUCUAGUUUUAUUUAGUUCCCUCAAUAUCUCAUAGAAAUAGAGACUCCUUAGAACAGCACACCCUCAAGGAAACACUUUAAUGAGGGACUGCCCUACUGAGUAGCAUGUCUUAUUGAUGGAAUAUAAUUUGGCUUAAAAACUCACAUUUUGCUGCCAAGACAGCUAAUUCAGGUUAUCAUCUAGCUUACAACAAAAUAACAAACCAUCUCAUAUCAUUUUCCUUCUAUUUAAAGAGCAAAGAAACGGUGGCAAGUAUGGGAUUUAUUUUAUUUCAUUUUUUUUUUUUAAAAAAAAAAAACUCACCAAGUUGCAUAGAAGUCUACCAGAACAGGUUUUUCAGAAUUUGCUAGCAAUUCAUCCAAGGAAGAAAAUGUUUGCUUCUUUGCUUCAACCUAAAGAAAUCACAACAAUGUGGAAGUUACCCAUUAAUUUAUAGACACAUUCAGAAUUUGGUAGUCCAACCAUGCUUAUCUAAAUAUGCCAAUAUAACAGAGUCAAUUAGGAAAAUGUCCCAAACUCCUAAGAUAUAAUAUUAACAUAAAAUGUUUGUUCAGAAUGCAGAGAAACAAAAACCAAGAUACCUGUAAUCUGACAUUACAAAAAAAUGAGUCAAUUUACUCUGAGUCAAUUUAAAUUGGAAUUUAUGAACAUUCCAAUAUACUUUACUCUGGGUAACAGGCAGUUAGUAAGCAUGUCAAAUCAAAUAUUUAAGCACCAGUUAGAUAUCUAGAUUACAACUUUUCAUGACUCUUUAACUUUGAAAUCAUAGCUUCCAACUUGGAAGGUUAACAGGCAAAGCAGUGCACAAUUAUAUGGUCACUAUGACACCUUGUUUCUAGAUUAACUACUAGUCUAUCAGAUGACAAUUGAGUGCUCGUAUGCAGCGAACAAUGGUAUAGAGCUAAAUAGCAGAUGAAGUACAUUAGCUGGUUUACAUUGUCAAAUUGGAAACUAUGGGUAUGUUUGGAAUUUGCUUUCAAAAACAGUUUUAUGUUUUUAAGAACAAAAAUAAAAUAAAAUAAAGGAAAACAUGUUUGACAAUCAGGAAACAAGAUGUUUUAUGAGAAUAUAUUUUAAUUGUUUUCAGUCGUUUUCACUUAAUUUUAAAUAUGUUUUAAAGGAUAAUCCUACAAAUAUGGAGAAUGAUUGAAAAUAAAGCACUACAACAAAAGUUAUUUUAAAAAACAUAGAAAUUAGGUUGACAACAUUUCAAGUUCCAAUGAAAUGUUUUCAAACAGACUUCCAUUCUAGAAAACAUUAAAAAACAAUUUUCAAAAACCAUUUUUCAAAACUGUUUUUGAAAACACUUCCAAAUAGAGUCUAUAUAACUCUAUUAUUUCCUUUUAUUUUUCUCUAUUAAGAAAACCAUGUGUUGUCUGUCUCUCAUUUACAUGACCUAACAUUUCUCCUCAACUCAAGCGUUCACACCCUCAAUUAAGCAACCCAAACGCACUUAAUCCCAAAGGUUGUGUUUGUGUUUGGCCCUCGCAACCAACAAAUGCAACGACAUGAAAAUGCUGAAAUUAACUUCAUUCUCACUAACCAAUCUUAAUUUUUCCAGGAAUGACUAUCCUCUAAACAAACAUAUGCGCAAUCAACAAGAAAAACGCACGAGAAAAUAAAAGGCGAAUCCUUGCAUCUAGCACAAAAUGUCUCCACCAACUGAUCCAACACACCACAACACAUUCCCAAAGCAGAAUAUACAAACACCGUUCACAAGAAUUCGGAAAAUUCCAAUAAAAAAAAUCCACAACAUUCUGAAUUUUAAUAAUAAUAAUAAUAAUCAUAAAAAAGGCACCGAAGCAAAACAAAUUACCACAGGAAGGGUUCGAGGCCUAGACGGGGAUGAAAUUCCGUUGUUGCCGAUUCGAAUAGGGCGGAGCUGCCUAGGAAACUGCAAGGGGGACGAUGAGAAGAGCUUGGAAGAAGGGGAGGAAGAAGAAAAGGCUAAAGGAGUGGGGCGUUGAGAAUUCAACGCACGAACUGUAGAGAAAGUGAGCGAGGUGGCCAUUGGAGAGAAACCCUAGAACCAGAUGUUUUGGAUAAAAAUGGAACUGGACCAGAAAAAUCUGCUGGGAAGGGAGGAGAAAAAGAAGUGCGGAGACGAAGAGAACAAGAAGAGAGAUGUUAAGGUGCGGAGGUAUAGUAGAAUAAUAAAUAGGAGGACCAGAUCCGCGGGUGUGGGAGUUUCACAGCUAUGAUCCGACGGCCAGCAUACAUUAUCACACUUGGAGAUCCCAGCAGCCAGAUGCGUGUACUCUCCAUUUUUUUAUUUUAUUUUCACGUGAACCCCAAGGGAAAAUGACUACUCCAAUAAUUUACAUUUUCUUUUACCAAAAAGAUUAAAAAUCGGAUUCAGUAUCCAGAAAGGAUAAAAGAUUUUAAAUAAUUCAAUAUAAAACAUAAUGAGAAAAUCUUUAUAGAAUCAAUCCAACCACGUUCUAGUAAGAAACACCAGUGGGGGCAAGAAGUGGAACUACCGGUAAGCCAACAAGAUCCUCUUCAAAUUCAUGCUACAUUUUAUUAGACCAAUGUCUAAGGCCAAAAAUGAAGACUACAUGUGAGGAAAACGGUUGAGUCUAAAUCCUACAAACUUAAGUUUUUUUAAAAAUCGAUUAUUCAAUGGAAUGAAGAUGUAAAUAAUAAAACAAUGAGACCGGACAUGGUAUAAAACAAUAGGAUCUAAAUGCAUGUAUGAUACGACCUGAUUGAUCAUGCUUUUUGAUAUCGAUUUGGUAAUGUAAGGGGACCUUUUUUAACAUUACGUGAGUUUGGUAAAGGAGGCUGACUUUAUGGGCUGGAUGAACACGUAUGACUGGAGAUGAGAGGAGCAGCAAUACAAUGUUGAUCAUCACUUUACGUAGGCUCCUGCAUGCCACAAUGUUGAUCGUCACUUUCCAGAACACUAAAACCAUUUCAGGGUUCAGAGAAAAUUCGUAAGAGUCCGCACUCAAAACAGCUCUCUUAACAAUAAACUUGAAACAUCAAAUAAUGUUAAAUUACAACGUGGAAGGUUGAUGUCGUGGCAGUAAGUUAUGGCCAAACCUCAUCCAUCACUAGUCAAUGUGAGUGCCAGAAAAACUACUGUAAGUGCAGAGAAUAUGGUUGCACAGGCAAAUACCCACAUCGCCCUGCUCCUCACCCUGCCACUACUAUGGCUUGCCGGGCUGCCCAUCUCGACCUCUUUUAGAAGCUCCCUCACCUCAUCCAUAUUUGAGUCUUUUGCAGCUUGGGUUAGUCUACCAUGAAUUUUAUCAAGCCUACUCAGCCUUUUACUUCGGGAUGCAUCCUUGGCUGACCAGAUAAAACCCGUCAUCUUCCACAGAAGAAUGCCCACAUAGAUGGCCACAACACAGUCCACAGUGUAAUGGUGGCGUUCCCGUAUUUCCCUUUGGGCACUGUGCAAUACAAACAGCCAUAUGACAGCCGAGCUGAAACCUCCAUAAGCUUCCUGCAAACAUUUUUUUUGACACAGAGAAAGACACAAAAUUUAGUAUUAUGCAUUUUAAGCCUCAGUGCUACUGAUCAAUAAAUGUCAAGAGGAGGGAUUGCAAGUGUUUAAUAAAUAUACCGUCCAAGCCAUAGCAGUCAGUACUGCUACAAGAAUGUGGCCACUGUAUAUGAGGUCAUUGCAUCCUCCUCCAGCUUUCUUUAGCAGAUUGUACCAUGACCCGUCAGUAGUAGUUGGUCGCAGGAAGUCUAUAAGGAAGCUCAUUGAACCCCAAUCAGGACGAAAGUCACCAAGGUAAUUUCCAACAUCAGCUGAGAAAGAGGAAGAGAAUUAUUAAACCCACCUCCCUGUAAAACAGGAACCCAUCUGUAGUAGUUCUUAGGGUAGAUCUAAUAAUGGAGAACAUAGAACUCAUGAAGGUUACAGAAUUUAACCCUUUUUCCAACAUUGAAAACUAAAGAAAACUCUCUCAGGGCUUCUGUACAUGUCAACAAUGAAUUUAGAUUUCCAGGAGAUUGGAUGUUGAUUGAAUUGAAGAUUCACUAAAAUCUUGUAAGCACCUUAGUUAUUCCAAACCCAAUAGGCAAGUAGAAGAUGCGAACCUAAGAAUUAAUAGGACUUAUAAAGAAAUUUCAUAGAGAAAAUUGAGAUGAAACAGUGAAUCUGGACAAUAUGAUUUUUGCCAUGGGUACUCUAGCAGUAAUCAAGCGAAUAUAGAGCUUAAAAUCCCUUUUUCUCGCCUCAAGGCUCCACUACAAAACCCCUUCAAAUGCAUUAAACCCAUAAAAUGAGAGGAAAUUAGUUGGGUACAAAACACAUACCAUAGGCUAUAUCACGUUCUAUUACUUGACGAAUAGCAGCUGGAUCCGAAGCAUAAGGGACAUAAUAUUUUUGAGCCCAAUGAUGUGGGUGUGCAGGAACUCUGAAGCGGGCAAAAGCACACCAAGGCCGGGCCGAUGGCAGAAUUGUAGAUACAAAAGUUAUGGCCCGAAGAAAUCGCCCUAUUGCCAUGGUGAACAUGUACCUAGCACCUAGCCCAAGGCCAGGAGCUUUUACAGAGUCGAAUAAUACUGAGAAAGCCAGCAUCAUGAACAGCAUCAAAAAAUGGUGCAAUCCAAUAAUAUGCGCUCUAAGUAUCUCAACCACCGUAGGAGGAAGUUUCUCAUUCAACGCCAGGAGAAACCACUGGCCAGUGUCAGGAAGGGGAGGAGUAUCACUGCCAGACAUGAAUAAGCCAAUUGAUUGUCUCAUUGCUCAACAUACAGUAAACACAAAGUUGAACUAGUGUUGAAAGAUUAUGAUAUUAUCUUGGUAGAAAUAUUCCUGAAAAUGGACUCAGCUGUUGAUAAAUAUCCAUGAAGCAUUCUGGAGGAUCAGAUCCACUAACAGAAACUAUCACGUCUAAUAGAUGUUUUCUGAUCCAGUUGCAAUGAGUUGAUAGCAUUUUCAGGUUAUAUCAAAUGAUUCUUUAAAGAAGAAAUUGCAGCAUCUGCAAUAAUUAAAUCUCUGUCUCUCUAUAGGGAUUUUCAGAUUCAGCUUGAAUAAUGAUCCUGAAAAAGAGGAAUCAUUGCAUCUGUAUGUAUUUAAAUCUCUCAGUCUCCUGAGAUGUUUUCAUAUCUAGUUCAAAUGACGCGUGACUUUAUUUUCAUGUUAUAUCAAAUAAUACUUUAAAAAAGGACCUUUUUUAUGGGCAAAAAGUGAUAUUAUCAACAGCGCAUAAUCAGAAGAGGGCACACCAAAGCUUCAAAAAAGGACUUGUUGCAUCCUAUGUAUUUAAAUCUCUCUUUCUGUGAGUGCGUGCAUCAACAUAUAAAGCAUUACCUAUGUUAAGGAAUCAACAUGAUACGAAUAAAAGUGUCCUUGUUAGGGAUGUUUGAAUAUAAUAACACUUAUGUACAUACAGCACAGUUAUAAAUUCUCUCCUUCUCUCUCUGUGUGUAUGUGAAAAUUUUCAAUCUUACCUACAUGCAACCUGACACCAAUACAAGUAUCCUCAUUGCUGAGUGGUUUGCAUAUGAUAAGAACAUUUAUGUGUGUGUAUAUAGUUAAGGGUUGGGCCCCAAUUUUAAUGAUGAUUUUUAGCAAGAAGACUUGAAAAUCAAUUUGAAACCCUUAGUUAGUGUAAUCGGUAGUCUUUUUGCAUAUAAGCAAAGUGAGGGCAUACUAUAUAAGAAUGAAAGACCUUACUUUAACUUAGGAGACCACAUUGAACCUUAAUUUUUACAUGAAAAUCUCUAAAGGUUUUCUAAAAAGUUUAGUGACUUAACUGACAUUUUUCUGUACUUGAAAAAUACUCAAAAGCAUUGGUUAAAAUAUUUUAACAGUUUUCUAAUGUCUUAAAGUCCCUUAAAGGAUGGUUAAAGCCCUCGAUAAGAGUUAUCGGAGCAUCAAAAUGCAAUGGGGUAUGUAUGUGGUCAUCUAGGCGAUCGUCCAUAUGUGCUUUUUACCAUGCUGAUGUCCGGUUCUAGGGGACUUUUGUGUUUAAUAGGUAGUUUGAUUUCAAAAAGGAAUAAAUGCAUUGCCUUAGACACAUAUAACAUAGGCCUAACAAAUGCAAAUCAUUACUAUUCCAUUGAAACCUUUCUUUAAGACAUUCAAGUAUGCUUUAAACUUAUACUUGCUAACCCUCAUUUAAGAUGCUUAAACUUGAACAUUAAAUUACCUAUCUACUCUUUGUUAGAGUGUUCAUUGUAUUUUUUCUUUCAAUUGCAAUUUAGUGAGAUUGUAAGAAAUGUGUAUGAAUAACAUCUUGAAGUUAUAAAGAACCUGAUGGCCUCCUAUACGUAAUGUGUAUACUAGAAAGGGGAAGAGGAGUGUACUGCCACCUGGCAGCUAGUUGUAAUAGUCUUAGUACAGGUUGGAAGGAGUGUACUGCCAGGUGCAAUUAGCCAUAACGGUCUUAGUACAGGCUGGAAUAACUUUAGGAAAAAGAUGGAAUUUGUGGAGCAGCUGGCUGUUGUGUGAGUCUGGUGGGAGAGUGAUAGCCUCUCGAAUAGCCAUCUUUGUAUCUGUUUGGCCCUUUUCUUGAAAUUUUGGAAAUUCAAUAAUAUUGCUAGUAAUUUUUUCUUCAUUAGAUACCUAUCAAUUUGGUAUCAGAGCAUUGAUCCAGAUGACUCAGAAGAAGAAUGAUGGCCGGGUGGAUUCUCUGGAGAAGGAAGUUGGAGAAAUCAAAGAGGAGAUGCAGCGCCUACUGGGAAUGGAAAAGACCGUGAUGGACCUUGCCUAGAACAUGAUGUGAGUUCUGCAGUUGCUGAAAUUGACACAGAAGGCAGUGGGGGUGUUGUCAUCAGGGCGGGUCACGACGAUUCCUCAUUGUGAGGGAGGCAGGGUGGAUCGAUGCAUGGGAGUAUGAUUGCUACUCAAUGAGAAGACCAUGCGGAAUGGAUCCCUGGAGUUGGGGAAACCAAUGGGGGGUUGGAUAGUGAUGGAUGAGAUGAGGCGAGGCAGAAACGGGGAAUGGCAUGGAGAUGGCACUUGGAGAUGCCUGUGUUUAUGGGAGACAACCCGAACGACUCGAUCUUUCGAGGUAAUCAAUACUUCAUAAUGAAUGGACUCACGAAAGAGGAGAAAUUAGUUGCCCCUACGAUGAGUCUUGAUGGGGACACACUUUCUUGGUACCAGUGGAUUGAUUCGAGAGAGGCAUUUGGGAGCUGGGAAAAUUUGAAGAGGCGACUGCUGCUCCGCUUUCGUCUGACUCAAGAAGGGAGCCUUUGUGAGCAGUUUCUUGCAGUGCGUCAGGAAGGGAUAGUGGCGGCUUACUAGCAGGAGUUUGAGAUUCUAGUUGCUCCCUUGAAGGGGAUUUCUGAGGAGGUAAUAGAAAGCACAUUUGUGAGCGGACUGCUUCUUGAGAUUUGGGUUGAGAUACAUUUUCUGCAACCAUGUGGGCUAGGCCACUUGAUGGAAAUGGCUCAACAGGUCGAAGACAGAAAUUUAAUCUUGUGGGCGGCCCAUGAACCAAGGGACCCAAAGAACACCAAAAUAUUGUCGUUCGCAAAUCGGGGGGAUUGGAAGACUAGGGAAACUUUUCAAACUAGGGCAAUGACUACUAGUGAUGUGAGAUUCUGAGUCUCUGACAAAGAGAUUGACGGAGUAUGAGCUCCAAGCCCGUAGAGAGAAGGGACUUUGUUUUUAGUGUGAUGAGAAGUUCUCACUUGGCCAUCGUUGUAAGAAGGAAUUAAGGGUUUUGCUGGUGCACGAAGAUGAGGAGGAGGAUAAUCAGUUUGAUGGUGAAGCAACUGUGGAACCUCCACUGAUUGAGCUGAAAGAUGUUGUGAAGUUAUCUCUAAAUUCUGUGGUCAGUUUAACAACAUCGGGGACUAUGAAAAUCAAGGGGACGAUCAAGCUGAAUGAGGUAAUCAAUCUUGUGGACGGUGGGGCUACCCACAAUUUUUACCCCUUGAUUUAGUUCAAUGAUUAGCACUUCCAUUAACUACAACAACCAAUUACGAGGUGGUGAUGGGAAUUGGGAUAUCCGUGAAAGAGAAGGGCAUUUGUAGGGGAGUUUGUAUUUCGAUGCAGGGGCUCACUGUAGUGUAAGAUUUUCUUCCACUUGAAUUAGGCAACACUGAUGUAAUUUUGGGAAUGCCUUGGUUGGGGACUUUAGGAUACAUGGAGGUAAAUUGGAAGAUGCUAAUGAUGAAGAUCAAAAUGGGGAAGUGGUGAUAUUGUUAAAGGGAGACCCAAGCCUCAGUAAGACCAAGGUGUCUCUUAAGGCAAUGGCUAGAGCAUUGCAGCACCGUGGCUAGAGGGUGUGGGUGGAACUCUAUCAAAUUUCCACCGAUUCAAGUUCAAGUGAAGGAGUAUAGGAGGUCCCAAAAGCAGUCAAAGAAGGACUAGCUCAACAUCAACAAGUCUUUGGGCAAAUGACGGAGUUACCACCGAAUCGUAAUAUUGACCAUGCCAUCCGAUUGAUUUUGAGAGCGCCACCAGUUAAUGUUCGUACCUAUCGAUACCCACAUAUUCUAAAGAAUAAAAUAGAGAGAUUGGUACAAGACAUGAUUGAGGCAGGAAUUAUUUGGCCUAGCUUAAGUCCAUUUUCUAGUCCAAUGUUGCUGGUUAAAAAAAAAAAGAUGGAGGAUGGAGGUUUUGCAUAGAUUAUUGUGCACUCAACAAAGUUACAAUUCUGGAUCGGUUCCUUAUUCCAGUAAUCAAUGAGUUACUUGACGAACUUCAUGGCAUAACCAUUUUUUCCAAGCUAUACCUCAAAUAUGAUUACCACCAUAUUUGAGUUCGAUAACAAGAUAUCCAUAAAACAGCGUUCCGCAUCCAUGAAGGUCACUACGAGUUCUUGGUGAUGCUUUUUGGGCUAACCAAUGCAUUGACGACCUUCCAAUCGUUAAUGAACCGUAUAUUUCGACUACAUCUUUGGAAAUUCGUGCUUGUAUUUUUUUAUGACGUACUAAUUUAUAGCAAGGACUUGAAGGAGCAUUGUGAUCACUUGCAAAGGGUGUUGUUCAUUCUGGCUAACCACUAGUUGCACGCCAAUGAGAAGAAGUGUCUCUUUGCUAAACCGCAGCUAGAAUACUUGGGUCGUUUGGUUUCUACUGAGGGGGUUGCUGUUGACCCCAACAAGUUUCAACCAUGAUAGAGUGACCCACACCCAAAUCCCUCAAAGAAUUGCGAGGGUUUCUUGAAUUGACCAGGUACUACCGUCAAUUUGUCAAGGGAUAUGGAGAUAUUUCUUGGCCCCUCAGUUAGCAACUCAAAAAGGAUGCUUUUAAUUGGAACCCAGAGGUUGAGAUUGCCUUCCAAAAGUUGAAAACAGUUAUGACAACAGUUCCUAUUUAGGCCUUGCCCGAUUUCACUCAGCUCUUCAUUGUGGAGACGGAUGUCUCGAGGUAUGGUUUAGGCGCUAUUUUGAUGUAAGGUCAAUGACCGAUGGCUUAUUUUAGCCAAGUCCUCUCGGUAAGGGUGUGACAAAAGUCCAUAUAUGAAAGGGAGUUAAUGACUAUUGUCUUAGCAGUUUAGAAGUGGCGUCACUACUUGCUUGGUCACCACUUUAUUGUGCGAACGGACCAAAGUAGUUUGAAGUUUUUGUAGAGCAAAGGGUGGUGAAUGAGUCGUACCAAAAGUGGGUCACAAAGUUGUUCGAGUACAAUUUUGAAAUUCAGUUUCGGCCUAGAUUGGAGAAUAAGGCAGCUGACGCCCUAUCUCGCAUCCCCAUAUCUAUUGAGUUAGGUACCCUCAUGGUUCCCAAUCGCUUGGACACUUCGGUGGUUUAUUCACAGGUUGAAGCUAACCCUCACCUUGCUAAGAUUUGACUAGGGUUGUUGGUUAAUCUAGAUGCUUAUCCUUGAUAUUCUUUGGACCAUGGCCUUCUUGUCUACAAGGGGUGCCUAGUUCUUCCCAAGGCCUCACCCCUUAUUUUGACACUUCUUCAAGAGGGCAUGCUAGCGUGGUUGGAGGUCAUUCUGGGUUCUUGCGGACUUACAAAUGGCUCACAUGGGACUUUUUUUGGGUUGGCAUGAAGAAUGACAUCAAAGGGUUUGUGGAAAAGUGUUCAAUGUGUCAACAAAAUAAAGUCUUUACUUUGUCACUGGUUGGGUUAAUAAAAACCAUUGCCUACUCCAGAAAAAAUAUGGGUUGAUGUGAUGAUGGACUUUAUUGAGGGGCUCCCUAAGUCAAAGGGUUAUGAUUCCAUCUUAGUUAUUGUUAGAUUGAGCAAUUAUGCUCACUUCUCCUUGCUUAAGCAUCCUUUCACAGCCUAAAUGGUGGUUGCUGUUUUUGUUUGUGAUAUUGUCAAAUUGCAUGGAAUUCCCUAUUCCAUUAUUCCGAUCAUGACAAAGUAUUUCCUAGUCGAUUUUGGAUGGACCUAUUCCGAUUGCAAGGUACCUCCUCUGUCGUGGUACUGCUUACAUCCUCAAAUAGAUGGAUAAACGGAGGUGGUCAACUGUUGUGUGAAGGCAUACCUUUGAUGCUUUUCAUAUGACAAGCCUCGAUGUUAGUCUACAUGGCUUCCGUGGGCGGAGUACUAGUAUCAUAACAUGUUCCACGCAUCCACUAAUAUGACAUUGUUUUGAGCGAUUUAUGAGUAGGAAGCCCCAUCAUUGCUACGUUAUGGAUCAGAUUCUACAUUUGUUUUGCCAGUGGAUCAGUUGCAGUAAGAGCAUGAUCGAAUUUUAAAUGAACUGAAGGACCAUCUCAGUUGUGCCCAGUCCAAAAUGAAGUCAUCUGCAAUGUCCAUCGUCGUGCAAUGCAAUUUGAAGUUGGGGAUUUUGUCUAUCUCAAUCUUCGUCAUUACCGUCUUCGUUCCCUUGCAAGGCGACCCAAUGAAAAGCUCUCUCCAUGGUAUUUUAGCCCUUACAAGGUGGUGCAGCAAAUUGGUCUAGUGGUGUACAAGUUAGAGCUCCCUUCUUCCACAACUAUUCAUCCAGUGUUUCAUGUUUCACAGCUCAAGUGGGCUCUUGGUUCAGCUGAUUUAUGUCAGCCACUUUCCCCUAGUCUUGUUGAUGAUUUCGAGUGGCUUGUGGAGCUUGAUCAAGUCUUAGGUGUUCGACAGUCUCCCAAUAUCAAUCCUCCUAUUAGUGAAGUACUUAUCCAAUGGAAAGGACUUCCGCAGUUUGAGGCUUCAUGGGAAUCACUCGACAUGAUUAAGGAGCACUUUCUUGGCUUCCACCUUAAGGACAAGAUGUCUUGCAUUGGGGGGAGGGGGAGGGGGGUUGUCGAUGAUAGGCUUCCUAUACGUUAUGUGUAUCCUAGAAAGGGGAAGAGGAGUGUAUUGCCACCCAUGGUUUGAAAUAUUGGUAAACAGGGAUAUAUCAGCACUUGAAUUUUACAGAUAUAUCGGAAAUAUCAGAGAAAUAUCAAUGGAUAUUUUGACAAAAAUAUUGGUAAGGGGAAAAUUAUUCAAAAAUCAUGGAAAUAUUUGGAAAAACUCCAAAAAAUGAUAAAAUAAAUAAAAUAUACAUGUUAAAAUUAUUUCCUAAGUGUAAUUGACAUACAUAUGGUUAAAGAGAAAAAUAUCAAUAAGUAAAGAUAAAUCAAUAUUAAUAAUUUAUUAUUUAUUAUUUAUCUAAUCAAAUUAAUUUUAAUUUAUAAAAAAUUAAAACUUCAUUAUUAUUAUUAUUAUUAUUAUUAUUAUUUUAGUAUUUUUUGAAAAAAUUUAUAUUUUUAAUAUUUUAAAAUAAAAGCAUUCAAAAUUAAAUAAAAUUAAAAUGAUAAAUAUAAAAAAUUUAAAAGUGAAUUGAUAAUAAUUUUUUAAAAUAGGAUUAAUGAGAUAAAUGAUGAUACAUUUAAUAUUAAAACUAUAAUUUAUUUAAUUCAAAUGCAUUCAAUAAUGUAAAAUAAAUGAUGAUGCAUAUAUGAUUUUUUAAUAUUUAUAUUUUUUAUAUUUAAUUAUCACAUAAACGAUAUUAAAAAAUAUUUGUUGAAAAAAUUAUAAUGAUGGAUUUUAUACAUUUAUUAAUUAAUUAAAUAAAAUUUAAAGUAAAAUAAUUAUAAUUAAUUAAUUAAUUUUUUAAUAAUAAACUUUAACAAAUUUAUUAUCAACAUAUAUUAUUAAGUGUGAACUUGGCCCAGUGGUAAUUAGGCUUAAACCCAAGCUUUUUGGCUUGAGUUCGAAUCCCCUAAGCCGCAGCAGCAACGUAAACAUUUCAAAAAAGUUUUGACCACCAAAAAUAUUGAGAAAUAUCCUGAUAAAUCAGAAAAAACAUUUCACCGCAAAAAUUGACGAAAAGUCGGCCGAUCGAUUAUCGAUGAAGAAUAUUAUGUCAGUCAGCUCCGAUAACUGAAAUAUUUUUGCCAAAAAAAUCCAACAUUUCAAACCAUUCUGCCACCUAACAGUUAGUUGUAACAGUCUUGUAUCUGUUUGACCCUUUUCUUGAAAUUCUGGAAAUUCAAUAAUAUUGCUAGUAAUUUUUUCUUCAAUAGAUACCUAUCAGAACCAUCUAGAACCUAGGGAAUCUAAAUGUAAAUAAGAUUUAAAAGAGUCUUUGUUGAGAAGAUUCUUGGUUUGGUCGAACACUUUAAGGCUUGUGAAGGAGCUCAAAGACGUAGACAUAGGGGUGUUACUAAACCACAAUAAAAUCACAAUGUUUGUAAUCUUUCUUCUCUUAAUUCUCUUUAAUUUCAGUACUUUACUUUUAUUAUUUGCAUCAUAUAUUGUUUGUAUUUAAAUUUGGAUAAAAAGUUCAAAAAGAGACCACCCAAUUCACCCCACCAAUCCCCACUCUCCUGGGUGAUUACCUACAUUUGCUUAGCAAGACUACUUAAAUAUACACAACUGUGAUGGCAAAUCAAGACUAGCAUUGUUGUUGGUCAUAAGAAUUAAAUUGCCAUUCUAAGUAGAUACAUUAUAACAGCUCUGGACAGUCUAUAUGUCUAAUUAUUAGAAAUCACAACUAGCCCUAUAGUUCCAAUAAACUGAACAUAUAUUUGAAAAAAAAAAUCUGGAAAUUCACAAAAAGUUCCAUUAUCUCUCUCCAUCUAUUUGGAAUUGAUAUCACCAGCCAAGGUCAAUGAUUCCAAUUCAUAUACAGUCAGAACGCCCAGAGUAGAGUGUGAUUCCAAUAUUUUCUCCUUACCAGGUAAACUUUUCAGGCAUCCCCAUAAUUUUAGAGAAAUAUAAUUGGUUUUGUCCAAAAAACCUAUUCUUGUUUACUCUAUUUAUCCUAAAUUACUUCAUUUGAUCUCAAAUAUAAUUUGGUUUUUCCUUAAGCUUUUCAUUGAUGCUCAAUGCUCACUCCACACACUUAAUUUCUUAAAUUGCUAAUGUUAUCCUCAGUGGCCAUACAAUAUUCUUUCUUUUUUUUUUUCUUUUUUUUAGACAGAUAAAACCAAUUGCAUUAAAAAUAAAAAUGCCACAAGGACACAUCAAUGUACAUAGGAUGUAUACAAAUAGCACCUAACAGCACAAAAACAUGAAAAGAACCCAAGCAACAACCCCCACCCUUAACCAGAACCCAACCACUCAAUGAAAUAAAGUAAAGACUAAGAAUCUAUCUCUAUGUACUUCUUUACCUAAGUGAACAAAUUCCUAAGAAAGAACAUCUUCAAAAACUAAGCAAAAUGCUCCUCAUUAUCAUACAACCUGAGAUUUCUUAUUACACCAUACAAGAUUCUUAUUACACCAUAAAGGCCCCUAUAUUUGACAGAUAUGCCUGGUUAAGUAGAAGAUUAUGCAUGGAAAACCUAUUCUAAUUCUAUGAUAAAUGUCCUACUUCAUGCCAUCUUCCUUUUGAAUAAUUGGAAUGAAAUGGCCUGUUCGGGAUAUCUACUAAUCAAUGAUUUUUUAAUUUACCAAAAUUUCUCUUCAAGUCAACCUCCAACACUGAGAAGUUCAUUUCUACAAAUUUCUUUGCUAUGUUGCUCCCCUGGUUCCAAGCCAAGAAAAACCACUAAAAUCAAGAUCCCCAACAAACAACCAUCAGUUGAGGUUCAUACACACAGAUACUGGGAAAUGGGACAUAGGCCUUCAAUCCUAUAUUCAAUUAUGACUAUCUUUUGCUAAAUGCCGAUUAAACCAUACUGGAUUCCCUGCCUAAUUGAUAAAAAUAUUGUCAAAAAAAUGCAUAUACAUGAGUUACAGUGUUGAAGGGGAAUAACAACAUAUGGAUUUUAUCACUUCUAUGUAAAACAUUUCGAAUAUUACACUAGAAGAACUUAGAAGUUAUCCAGCAAGCAUACAUUUCACUAAAGAAAGCAUACGCUGUGAACAUGAUUGAUUAGUUCACCAACUUCAACACUUCAUAUCAGCCAUAUCUCCUUGGCCAAAUCAAGGAUGGAACAAGACUCCACAAAAUGUUCUGAAACAUGUGUGCAUAUGGAUAGUUCAAAUAAGCUAUAAAAUUACUUGCACAAAUUUUCCAGCAAAAAAAAUGCAAAAAAUAUUCAAUUGAAGACUUUAUUUUAAUUGCAACUAAUCAUAAUGAAUACCAAAUGCAUAUUGUGAAAGUCUCAAGUGCAGAGUUUGAUACACUGUUCUGCAAGCUUACUGUUAGGCCUUUGGUUCACCAACUACAAAUGGAAGGUUGAAACAAUCAAACCUUGGGCAGCUGGACCACCCUGAAACCUACACAUAUUUUUUUUGAUAAGUCCCUGGAGUCUAGACUAAUUUCGAUUAGUUCUUGCUGCUACAUGCCUAUUUGAUGGGAGGCAGUUUUUUUUUGGGUGAUUAUUAACCAACAUUUUGAUUAAUUAACACUAAAGCUAAACCUCUUUUGAGUUACAAUUAAUCAACAUUUGGAUCCAAGAAAAUUUUAAAGUCAAAGUCAUCAAUAAGGAGCAAACCCUAAAUCUGCUUUGAGUUACAAUGAAUCAACAUUUAGAUCAAAGAGCAUUUUAAAGUCAGACUCAUCACUUAGGGAACAAACCCUAAAUCUGGCAUUUUGAUUCCAGCCACUUUCCAAAUUUAUAUGAAUCAGAAAAACCCGCAAAAUAACACACCGAUUAGUCAACAAUUGAACAAGAAAUCAAAUCUAAAACCUUAGUCAUGUCUUUCAACAAAAUACCUCAAAAUGAAGACAAAUCGAACUCCAUACACAAAGAAAUUAAAGCAAACGCAACGCAAAUCAAACACGACCCACAUAAGAUUAACCCAAAAUGAGAACGUAACACUCAAUACACUUCAAUUUUCAUUUGAUUCGCCAUCUGGCUCCCCCCAUUUUCCAUCCAAAAACCCAUAACCCCAGGGUCCCCAACCAACAGAAAAUGCAACACAACAGUCCAAUUACCUGUGCCAAUCGAGACCGAGAACGGCGGUCACGGAGCGAACAGAGAGAACUUCAAAGAGACAGGUGGAGAGCAUGAAGAUCAUCGAAGCAACAAAGGGCAAAACAGAACGGAACUCCAUGGACCAGUGCUUGUAGAAGGGGACGCGAGCGACGGCUACUAGAGCGAGCACUGACCAGAGAGCAGGCAUUAGCCAGGAGUGCCAUGCCGGAGCCAGGUACCGGAGGUAAUCAACAGCCACGUAGGCUAUGGCGGCCACACCUAGUCCCCCGGCCCUCGCCCUCGCAGUCACCGGAGGUCGCCACUUCAUAGCUGUGGAGAAGAGAGGGAGCAGUGAUCCAAGCAAAAUUAUUUUUCAAAACAUCGUUCCAUUAAUAUUCGUUAAAGAGAAUAGUAACGGAAGCUAUCUGGAAAGCCGGGUUCACAUUCCCAGAAACAUGCAUCCAAAAUAAGAAAGAAAUUUUUUACUUUCUCUAAUUCUUUUUAUCUUUCAUUCUCUCAAUUUUCUCAAUUCUUUUUUAUGAUUUUUUUCCCUAUAAAUAUUAUUAUUAAAAUAAUAUAUAAUUUAUUUCUAUUACUUUAUUUGCAUUGCAUUUAUUCUUGUUUCACAACGAUUUAUCAACACAAAUUGCUUUGAAGGUAAUUAUCAUAUCUUAAACUUGAAGUUAUUUAUAUAGAAUAAAAUUUUACAUAUUUAUAUUAUUGUUGAUUUGUUUUGUCAUAUAUUGUUAAAAGUUAUAAACAAAUUAUUUAACUUUGUUUAUAAUCAAAGUUAUACCAAUGCUAUCAAUUUAUUAUAACUGAUUCAAAUAAUAUUGUUUUGUCAUAUAUAUAUGAAGUUAUUUGACAAUAUCGAAUCUCACAAAACUCGAAUUUGUAGCACUUGAUAUUUCAGGAAAGAACUAUCUAUCUUGGAUCUUGAUGCUGAAAUACAUCUUGAUGUAAUGAAUUUUGGAGCUAUGAUCAAAGAAAGAAAUAAAGCAUCCUUGGAGGAUCGUGUAAAAACAUUGAUUUUCCUUUGUCAUAAUCUCCAUGAAGGUUUAAAAAAUAUAAAAAUAAAUAAUGAGCUUUUGAUGAUAAAUCACCAGUCUCGUCUAACUAGAUUUGAACCAUUCCUUGAAAUGAAUACUUCCUUGAAAUGAAUACAAUAUCGUCAUAAACUCGUGGACGAGGACGUGGUCGUGGUUGUGGAAGAAAUCUCCGAUACCAUGGUUCUUAUAGUAAUAAUUCAUCAAAUUCUCAAAAAAUGAAAGCCUCAUUGCACCAUCAGAAGUGGAACAAUAUUGAGGUAUAACAAAAAAAUGGGAAGUGUUUAUAAGAUAAAUCUCCUAAAAACCAUAAGAAUAAUUGUUAUAGAUAUGGCAUGAAGGGACAUUAGUCGCGUACAUGUCGUACGCCCAAACGUUUGGUUGACCUUUACCAAGCAUUAAUAAAAGCAAAAGGAAAAGAGAUAGAGAUGAACUUUAUCGAUAAUAAUGGAUUGGACCUAACCUACUAUGACAUAGAUUUCUUUGGAGGUCCCAGUAAAAAACAGACCAUUUAAUAAAUGAUGAGAAGAUUAACAUUGAUUGAUGUUAAUUUAUAUAUCAAAUAAUAUAGUAUUAUGUUUUAUAUUUACAUCUGAUUUUUUUUUUUUUGUUAUUUACAUUAUGCCUUGUUUUUUUAGUUAUAUCUGAAAUCCAUGUGUUAUUUGGUCUCAAGAUGAAUGAGGAUGAUGUAUGUCUCACAGACUAUGCAACCACGCACACAAUUCUUUGAGAUAAAAGAUAUUUUUUCGAAUUGACAUUAAUAAAAGCUAAUGUAAGUACCAUAUUUAGUACUACAAACUUAGUUGAAGGCUCUAGAAGAGCAAACAUAACACUACCAAAUGGAACUAGAUUCCAUAUAAAUGACACUUUAUAUUCUAGCAAAUCUAGAAUAAAUUUGCUCAAUUUUAAAGAUAUCCGCAGAAAUGGAUAUCAUAUUGAAACUAUGAAUGAAGAUAAUGUAGAAUAUCUUUACAUUACUUCUAUUAUAUAUGGCAAGAAGCUUAUAAUGGAAAAACUCACGAAUUUCUUUUCUAGGUUGUAUCAUACAACUAUAAAGCCUAUUGAAUCAUAUGUUGUCGUGAACCAGAAGUUCAACAACCCAAAAGUUUUUUUCCUUUGGCAUGACAGACUAGGUCACCCGAGGUCUUCAAUGAUGUGUCGAAUAAUCAAACACUCACAUGGGCAUCCACUAAGGAACCAGAAGAUUCUUUUGCCCAAUGAAUACUCAUGUGCUGCCUGCUCACAAGGUAAAUUGAUAGUCAGACCAUCUUUUACUAAAGUCAUAUAUGAGUCACUAGUCUUUUUAGAAAGAAUACAUGGAGACAUAUGUGGGCCUAUUCAUCCACCAUGUGGACUAUUCCAUUAUUUUAUGAUCUUAAUAGAUGCUUCUACUAGGUGGUCACAUGUUUGUCUCUUUUCUACACGUAAGGUUGCCUUUUCUAGACUCCUUGCACAAAUAAUCAGAUUACGAGUACAAUUUCCAGAUUAUCCAAUUAAGACAAUACAUCUUGAUAAUGCUGGUGAAUUUACUUCUCAAACAUUCAUUGACUAUUGCAUAUUAGUAUGGAUAAAUAUUGAGCAUCCUGUUGCUCAUACUCAUACCCAAAAUGGUUUAGCAGAAUCCUUCAUCAAACAUCUCCAAUUAAUAGCUCGACCAUUACUAAUGAAAACUAAACUACCUACUUCUGCCUAGGGACAUGCUAUUAUGCAUGGUGCAACUUUAGUUCGUAUUCGACUUACAACUUACUAUGAAUACUCUCCUUCACAACUUGUGCUUGGAAAACAACCAAACAUCUCUCACUUGCGAAUCUUUGGUUGUGCAGUAUACGUACCAAUUGCACCUACACAACGCACCAAAAUCGGUCUCCAAUGAAGACUUGGGAUUUAUGUAGGUUUUGAUUCUCUAUCUAUCAUAAGAUAUCUUGAGCCUUUGACAGACGAUGUUUUUACAGCCUGCUUUGCGGAUUGUCAUUUUAAUGAUAGUGUUUUCCCAUCAUUAGGGGGAGAAAAGUCGAUUCCUGAAGAACAACGAGAAAUUAGUUGGAAGACAUCUACUACUAUGACUCAUCUUGAUCUUCGUACAAAUCAAUGUGAACUAGAAGUUCAAAGGAUCAUUCAUUUGAAAAGUCUUGCAAAUCAAUUACCAGACGCAUUCAUUGAUACAAAGAAAGUGACAAAGUCUUAUAUUCUGACUGCAAAUACUCCAACACAGAUUGAUGUCCUUGUAGAACAGUUAACAAAUGAAUCUAAGAUAUGCUUGAAGCGUGGUAGACCUAUUGGCUCAAAGGAUGUAACUUCCCGAAAGAGGAGAACCCAAGAAAAACUUGGCACUAUAAAAUAGGCCAUCAAAAUGACUGAUCAAUUUAAAAUUGAUAAAUCUAUAGCCCCUGAAGAGGCACAUAUUGAACAAGAAGCCCUUGAAGAGGCACAUGUACCUGAAAAUUGUGAGAUCUCAGUAAGUUAUGUACACACGGGAAAAAAAUGGGAUCAAAAUAAUAUUGUUAUUGAGAAAAUAAAGGUUAUGCUUAAAUAAGAAAAACACCCAAAAGGGGAGUGAAUUAGGUUUUUCAAAAACUUUUUCAACACAAAAAAUUUAAGUACAAUAUAAUAAAAAAUAAAGAGAUAGAGUUAUAGAAUUCAAACUUGGAUUUUAUAGUGGUUCAACACUUCUUUACCUAUGUCCACUCUUUUCAAUCUCCUAACUGAGUGAGGUUUCUACUAACUUAAAGCUUCAACCAAGCUUUCAAUUUUCUUACACUUGGAUUCCGACUCCAAUGGGCUCUUACACAAUUUCUUCAAGAUUCAAACCUCUUGAACAUUUUAACACUCAAUUUUUACAAGAAUGAAUCCCUCAACCUAGCUCAAAGAUAACUCAAAUACAAAACAAAGUUAGGAUGACUAACAAGGAUGCAUUAAAAGAUAUGCAAGUGAGGAUUUAAUGCACUAAAAAAGAAAUGAGAGCUUUUAAGCCAAGAACAAGUGGGUAGACAAUUGAUUGCAAGUGUUCUCAAUUUAUAAGUUUCUAAACUCGGGAGCCAAGAAAAGCAAAAGGUAGUCUCGACCGGUCGAGUUGGGGGUUGACCGGUUCACUAGCCAUUGGAGCAUUUAAUGUUUUGACAGGUUACCAUUGCCUAGACCGGGAAGAAGGAAACCUCAAUUGGGAAAAGGAAGCUACUGGAUGAGAAAGAGUGUUUUUGGUACUCCUCGAUUGGACCUCGACCGAACAAGGGCAACCGGUUGAGCCGGUUGGCCAGAACCUCGACCAGUUUAGCAUUUUGGCCCCGAAAACCUAUCUUUUUCAAUUCCUUUCUUUUCUAACACUUAGGCAAGGUCUUUAGGUAAAUUAAUAUGCCAAUUUUAAAACGUUUUGCCUAAGGUACAUUUGAUAAAACUCGAGUUUUAAUGAAAUCAAAAUUUUAAAGAAUAAACUGAGUUUUCAAAGAUGCAUGAAAAUGUAUGAAAAACCUAAAUGCACCCAUGCAUUCAUCUUACAUUCGUUUCCUAUGAUCAAAAGUCUUCCAAAAGUCUCGAUCUUGUAUCCAUUUGGUCAUUUGAUGAAUUUCCGAAUUUAUACCUGAGAUUCUUUUACCAUUCAAAUCAAUUAGUCACUUAACCAUGAUUGGUUAUCAUCAAAACCUGAUUAGGAGAACCCUUGGGCUAACAGUUAUUAACAAUAUUUUCGCUUUCCAAGUAGCCUCUGAUAUCAUAAGAAAUGAUGAAGAUCUUGAACCAAAAAAUAUGGAAGAAUACUGACAUAGAAAUGAUUGGCCAAAAUGGAAAGAAGCUAUACAGGCAAAGUUAAACUCAUUAACAAAAUGAGAAGUUUUUGGACCUAUAGUCCAAACACCUGAAGAUGUAAAGCCUGUUGGGUACAAAUGGUAUUUGUAUGAAAGCGUAAUGAGAAUAAUGAGAUUAUAAGAUAUAAAGUGCAAUUAGUAGCAUAAGGUUUCUCGUAGAGACCUGGUAUUGACUACGAGGAAACAUAUUCUCCCAUCAUGGACGCAAUCACAUUUCGUUUCUUAAUUAGUUUGACAUUCUCAGAAGGACUGGAUGUGUGUCUCAUGAAUGUUAUUACAACAUAUUUAUACAGAUCCAUGGAUAAUGAUAUAUACAUAAAAAUCCCUAAAGGAUUUAAAUUGCUUGAAGUAAAUAGUACAAAGCCUCACAACAUGUACUAAAUCAAGUUACAAUGAUCGUUGUAUGGAUUAAAGCAAUUUGGACGCAUGUGGUACAAUCAUCUUAGUGAAUACUUGCUAAAAUAAGGGUGUGUGAAUAAACCUAUAUGCUCAUGCAUCUUCAUUAAGAAAUCAAAAACCGGAUUUGCAAUUAUUGUAAUGUAUGUUGAUGACUUAAAUCUUGUUGGAACUCUUGAAGAGCUCACAAGAACAACAAAUUACUUGAAAAAUGAAUUUGAAAUGAAAGAUCUUGAAAUUUUUUUUUUCUCGGCCUAUAAGUCGAGUAUUUUCCAAAUAGAGUUUUAGUACAUCAAUCAACAUACAUUAAUAAAGUUUUGAAACAUUUUUAUAUGGAUAAAACGCAUCUUUUAAGUUCUCCAAUGGUUGUCCAAUCAUUUGAUGCGAAAAAGGACCCAUUUUGUCCUUGUGAAAAAGAUGAAGAAUUACUUGGUCCUGAAAUACCAUAUCUUAGUGCUAUUGGUGCACUUAUGUAUCUUGCCAAUUGUACACGUCUAGACAUUGUUUUUUUUUUUUGUCAAUUUAUUAGCAAGAUACAGUUCCGCUCCCACUUGAAGACAUUGGAAUGGUAUUAAACAUAUAUUGCGUUAUCUUUGCGGAACUACUGAUACGAGUCUAUUUUACUCAAGGGAAUCAAAGCAACAAUUGCUUGGAUAUGCAGAUGCAUGAUAUCUUUCAGAUCCACAUAAAGGUAGGUCACAAUUAGGGUAUGUGUUUAAUUGCAAUGGUACUGCUAUUUCAUGGAGAUUUGUCAAACAAACAAUAGUGACCACAUCGUCAAAUCAUUCAAAAAUACUGACAAUUCAUAAAGCAAGUUGUGAAUGUAUAUGACUAAGAUUUAUGAUCCAGCAUAUUCGGGAAUCAUGUGGACUCUCCUUUAUCAAAGGUGACCCGACAAUAUUAUUUGAAGAUAAUGUUGCAUGCAUUACACAAAUAACAGGGAGUUAUGUUAAAGGGGAUAGAACUAAACACAUUUCACCAAAAUUAUUUUAUACACAUGAAUUCUAGAAGAGUGGUGAAAUUGAUGUGCAAAAAAUAUGCUCAAGUGUUAAUCUAGUAGAUUUAUUCACAAAAUCAUUGUCAACCUCAACAUUCAAGAAGUUAAUACACAAGAUUGGAAUACGUCAACUCAAGGAUAUUGACAUGAGGAGGAGUAUGCUUGUAAAAGGGUGUUAGUGUACUAUACUCUUUUUUCCUUCGUCCAGGUUUUGUCCUACUGGGUUUUACUAGCAAGGUUUUUAACGAGGCAAUCCUAACAUACCAAGAGCAACUUAAAGAAUUAUAAGAAUAUUGUACUAUUUUUCCUUCGCUAGGUUUUUCCCAUAAUGUUUUUUACUAGCAAGGUUUUAAUGAGACAUAUUCUUUAAUGUGGUGGACAUCCAAGGGGGAGUAUUAUAACUGAAGUAAUAAAUGUCACCACAUUAAUUACAAUAAAUGUUAAUUAAGUAUUAUUUAUGAUUUCCAUUAAUAUUCAUUAAUGGAAACUAUUAAUGUUAUUUAUGAGUCUCAUUAAUGGAAACCAUUAAUGUUAUUUAUGAGUUCCAUUAAUAUUCAUUAAUGGGAAUAUUAAUGGAAGCCAUUUGGAAAGCCCAUAAAAAGGGCUUCCCAUCCUCUGUCAUAUGCAUCCAAAACAAGAAAGAAAUUUCUUACUUUCUCUCAUUCUCUCUAUAUUUCAUUCUCUCAACUUUCUCAAUUCUCUUUUGUGAUUUUUUUCCCUAUUAUAUAUUAUUAUCAAAGUAAUAUAUAAUUUAUUUCUACUAAUUUAUUUGCGUUACAUUUAUCCUUGUUUUACAACAAAAAAGUAUUUUUAAAUACGCCAUUUGACCCAAAAAAAAGAAAAGAAAAGAAUUUAAGAAAAUGCAAUAUGAUAUUAAAUCUGAAUUUAUAUAACAUUUUCUUUCAUAGUAUAUGCCACCUCAUUUUUCAAAAAAUUUCUUUCCAUCCCUUUAAUAAAUAAAUAAAUAAAAUAAAAUUUUCUUUAUUUUUUAUUUUAAUAAAUAAAUAAUUUUAUUUAAAAUUCAAUGGUGAUUUGAGGGGAGCAUAAAGAAAUUAACGUAAAUGUGAUACAAAUAUUUUAAUCUUUUUAUUUAUUUUUUCAUAUUAUAGUGCUUAUAACCAAAUUUUUAUUACAAGUAUGAAGGAUUCAAUAAAUAUUUAUAAAUUUCAAUCAAAUGGUAAUUUGCCUGAAAUUUCAUUUAUGCAUUAUUAAUAUCUCAUAUUAGUCAUUAAACAUCAUUUGUAAAAUAUUUAGAGAGUGUUUCUAUUUGAAGUGUUUUUAGUAAAAGUGCUUUUUUUGACAGUGUUUUUAAGAGAAUCAUCUAUCAAGAGCCCGUUUGGCAGUGAUUUUCAAAACUGUUUCUACCCUUAAAAACACUUUUCAGUGUUUUUGGGAUAAAAAUAAAGUGUUUAACAAAUUUUUAAAAACACUUUUGAAAAUCUGGGAAAACACUUAAAGUGAUUUUUAGAUAAUCACUUGACAAGUGUUUUUUAAAAAAAACACUUCAAAAAAUUUGAAAUAUUCCAAAAAUGCCCCCAAGUGAUUCCUGAUAUCUUCCUUCCUUUUCGCUCAUACCUCUCUCCUUCAUUCUCCUCCUCCAUCGCUCUCCAUCCGAGACUACACAGUAGGAAAGACACUCCACUUUUAUUCAACAUCGUUGAUCGGAUCGAAGGUAACCCUCUGUUCUUUUGUUGUUUUUCUUUUCUAUUUUUUUUUUAAUGUCUGAUUGUCUUGAAAUGUUAGUUAGGGUUUUAGGUUUUAGGAUUGUUUAGUUAAGAGAAAAAUAUGAGAAAAUGAAACUUGUAAAUCCUCAAAUGUUUUUAUAGGAAUUACUUCCAAGCCUUAACAAUUUUAGAUCUAUUUUUCAAUAGAGCAGUCGAGUCUCAUUUCCCAGUACUUCUCUCUCUAAAACUCUCAUUCUCUAUUUUGGUUCACAUAUGAAAUUGCUCUAUUUAGGGUUUUUGAGUUCACAUAGUCUCGACAAUUCAAAAAAGCAACAUUUCAGUUCCCUAAAAUUCAACUACAUUUGAACCUAAACACAUGCAAUCUUUUAGAAAUCAAUUGCAGAUCAACACAUAUCAUAAUUCUCAACUCGAUAUCAGAAAUUAAACAUAGCCAAUUCAAUUAAAAGGAAUAUAAAAACUAUUGAUUCAACUUAUAAAUAAAACAUCAAAUCAUAAAAUUUAAAACUGAAAGACUAACCAUGCAUUGCUGAACACUGAACUGGAAAUCCCAUAAAAUCUGAAUGUUGAUGUUAUUCGAAAUCUUGUUGUUGCCUGCAACCGCUGCAUUUCAGGUAUGAUUAAAAAAAAGGAAUAAAAGAUAGAAAUCAGGAUCUUAACUGACGAAAUGGAGAAACUUACCGGUGAAGAGAGAAUAUUGAAUGCCAAAAAUGAAAAGAAAGAAGAAGAGGGCAGCGUAGAUAAGAUGGAAAAUAGUGAAUCUCAUCUUGUUGGAAGAGAACCUACUUAGAGGAUGAAGAGGUCUCAUGAUUGAGAUUCGUAGACUGAUUUCAAAUCAAUUUUCGUGUAGAUCUCUGCUAUAGCUAAUAGGGGGACUAUGGAUUGUUUACAGUUCCUGCUUCUUGGAGUUGUACCUUCUAGGUUGAGAAUGCCUUCUAUGUGUUUUCAAUAAGUUAUAGAACCACUCCUUUUUCCCAGUUUGAUCUUAGGUUUUCUAUGUCAUAUUGGGUUGUCCAUCUUCUGAACAUGGGCUAAAACAUCAUCUUUGCAUUCUCAAUGAGCCAAAUUCUAGAGUCAUAAUUAAGCUGCUCAGUGACACCUGCAAGGGAGAAAUGAGCUGGUUUCAGGCAAGUCAUAGAACUCAUUGCGAAGAGGUGGAAUUGACUUCCUCCUAUAUGUGAAACAUUCCAACUAGUUUUCAGAUGGUCAAGACUUGAUUACAUUGCAAUACAUGUCUAAAUGUAGAGAGGCGGUUAGAGUAUGACUUGCAAUAGAAACAAAGAAAAUGUAGACCCAUUAAAUCAAUAUCCUGAUGCAAAGAAAAAAAAUUUAUGAGAGAAGCGGAACUAAAAAAUUUAGUUUCUACCAAAUUUAGGAUUUGUAGGCUUUGUAUGUAUCUUCAGUUUCUACCAAUGAGGAUUUCUUUUCAACCAAGAUUAUUGCACUUGAGGAUUUCUUUUUCUUAUUUGUUUAUUAUGCUUUACAGAAUUUGCCUAUAUGAUGUUCAAUACCGAGUUUACAUUUUAAAAUUUUAAUCAUACCAAGCAUUGUCUACACUAGAUAACCAUAUAUUCUUGAUGUUUUGUUCCUUAAUUCUUUUUUUAUUCUUCAUUUUAAUUGUGUGAUUCUUUGUUUGAAAAUUAUUAUUUCUCUAAAAUAUAUAUAUUUUUAAAUAGAGAAUGUCUAGCAACAUUGUUUAACCAUUACAACAACCAAGUGGUGGAGAAAGUAAAAAACAAAGCAAGGCUUAUUGGGAUGAUAUUACAAUGGAUGCUUUUAUCAAAGUUUGUGUGAUUGAGACCUUGAUUGGAAAUAGACCAAAUAAUCACUUUAACAAGUUGGGAUGGAAAAAUGUGAUAAAAGCCUUCAACAAUUUGUUUGGAAGAAACUAUCAAUAUAGGCAACUUAAGAAUAAAUGGAGUUCUCUUAAAAAGGAUUGGGAACUUUGGAAUACCUUGAUUGGGAAAGAGACUGGCCUUGGGUGGGAUCCUAUGAGACAAACCAUCAAUGCAAGCAAUGAAUGGUGGGAUAAGAAAUUGAAGGUAUGUUUUGUUUAUUCAUUAAAUUUAUUUGAUUAAUUUAUAUAUUGGUUAUGAAAUAUGAUAAAUUAAAUACUCUUGUAGGAGAAUCCUGAAGCAAUAAAGUUUAAAACAAAAGGCUUGAAAAAUGUUGAGUAAUUAGACAUACUUUUCAAAUAUAUUAUUGCUACUGGUGAAGGAGACUGGGCACUAUCACAAGGCUUUGUAGGACAAGAUGUUGAUGAUUCAUCUAAGGUGGGGGAACACGAAGAUAAUAUAAUAGAAGACCAAGAUGACUCUAGUUGCAAUCUGCCACUUAAUACUAUCUCCAAUAGUUUUGAAGCUACUACUCAACCUUCUAUGGCAAAAAAGAAUGAAGGAAGAAGAAAGAGGAAAAGAAAUGAAACCAAAUAUGAGCUUGUGGCUAUCCAGUUAGAGCGCAUUUGUAGUGCUGUGGAGAAUAGGUCUUCUAUCUCAUCUAAAGGAGAUAAACCAGGUUGUAGCAUUGCUGAAGUGAUGAAAAUCAUACGUGGGAUGCCUGAAGUGAAGAAUGACUUUGAGUUAUAUAUGAAAGCCACAAAUAUCAUGGUUGUCAAGGAAAAUAGAGAUAUGUUUGUUGCAUUAGAAGACCCAAUUGAUCAGAUUGCAUGGCUUAAACAUAAACAUGUUUGAGUGUUGGAGUUGUUUCUUGUUUUUAUAUGGAAACAUAUUUUUNNNNNNNNNNNNNNNNNNNNNNNNNNNNNNNNNNNNNNNNNNNNNNNNNNNNNNNNNNNNNNNNNNNNNNNNNNNNNNNNNNNNNNNNNNNNNNNNNNNNAAUUGAUCAGAUUGCAUGGCUUUAAACAUAAACAUGUUUGAGUGUUGGAGUUGUUUCUUGUUUUUAUAUGGAAACAUAUUUUUGUUACCUAAUAUUGUUUAGUUGUUAGGUUGAGGGGAGGAAAGAGAUGUUGGUUUGCUUUAUGUGUGAAUUGCAAAAGUCAUUAUGCCCUUAUUUGAUACUUUUUAUUAUUUCUUUCUCUAAAAAUUGUGACUAUUAGAUGAGCUUUGGUGGUAAACUUCUUAUAAAAUUUGGUAUUGUUUUUCAUUUUAUUAAUGUGUAGUUCCUCUGUUCUUUUUUUAUAUUUCAUCUUAGUCAUUUAACAUUUUUUUUUGGGUUUAUUUUUUCUAUAAGAUAUAUUUUUUUAAUAUAGAAUGUCUAGCAAUGGUAGGAAUUCUAAACUUCAAUUGUGUACUUUCUAAUUUUUAAAAAUAACUAUAGUAAUUGAAAAUAUACAUUAUUGUUGUUUAUUAACGUAUUUCUUUUUUUAUUUUUAUUUGUGUAGAUGUCUUCUAAUAACAAUGAUCAAAAUUUUGAUGAUGAAAGCGAUGAUGAACAUGAUUUUUAUCAAUUGGUGCUUGGGGGUUGUGUUGUAGCUGCAACACAUACUAGUUUCAAAGGAAAAAAAACCUUGUAGAACUUCUUCCCACACAAGAUACAAGUUUGUAAUGGAUGUCUUAAAUGGCUAUGAAAUUAGGUGUUUUGAGCAAUUUAGAAUGGAAAAACAUGUGUUUAUGAAUUUCUUAGAAACACUUACUAAAAGGUAUGGCCUAAAAGAAGGUUUUGAUAUGCCCUUAAUAGAGGUCUUAGCAAUGUUUCUCACUACAAUAGGUCAUAGACUAAGCAAUAGGAUGAUUCAAGAAAGAUUUCAACACUCUGGUGAAUCUGUAUCUAGAUGGUUUGAGAUUGUAUUAGAUGUUGUUUGUCUUAUGGCUAUAGAUAUUAUAAAACCAAGUGAUCCACAAUUUAAGGAUGUCCUUGAUAAAAUAAGAAAUGAUGAUCGGUAUUGGCCAUAUUUUCAGAAUUGUAUUGGGGUAAUUGAUGAAACUCAUAUACCUAUUGUGGUUUCCAGAGAUAGAAAAAUACCAUAUAUGGGUAGAAAAGGUAUGGCUACCCAAAAUGUUAUGGCGGUAUGUGAUUUCAAUAUGUGUUUCACAUUUGCAUGGGUCAGAUGGGAAGGCACUGCUCAUGAUGCACGGGUCUUUUUAGAGGCAUUAAGAAGGCCAAAAUUGGGUUUUCCUCAUCCACCUAGAGAUUUGUGAAUGAUAAUAUCAAACUUGUUUUUGUGAUCAAAUUUUUAUUAUCUAAUAUAUAUUUUUUGUUUUUGUUUUGUAGGUAAAUAUUAUUUGGUCGAUGUUGGUUAUCCUCAAAUGAGUGGAUAUUUAGGCCCUUAUAAAGGCGAGCAUUACCAUCUUCCAGAUUUUCGACGAAGUAGUUCACCUAAAGGUAAAAAGGAAAUAUUUAAUCAUAGGCAUUCAUUCUUGAGGUGCACAAUUGAGAGAACGUUUGCCGUUUUGAAGAAUAGAUGGAGAAUGCUACGAGAAAUGCACAAUUUUCCUCUUUAAAAACAAGUAAAGAUUGUUAUUACUUCAAUGGCUCUUCACAACUUCAUAAGGAUUAAUGCUAGAAUGGAUAUGGAAUUUAAACCUUAUGAUGAUGAUCAAGGGUUGCUUCCACUUAAUGAAGAAGAGAGUAGAGUGGAUUCACUUGUUGAGGAAGAUGGUUCACAUCAUACAAGAGAGAUGGAAGAACAUCGUGAUCGAAUUACAAAUCUUCUUAUAUCUCAUUAAUGUUUGAUUAUGACUCUAAUAUCCCUCCCCCCCUCUCCCCCCUUUUUUUUUGCUAUGAAAACAUUUGUUUUCUUAUUUGCUUUUAAUUAUAAUUUUUUUUUGAGAAAUUAAUAGAUAAUCAUAUAUUGUUUUAAUUUGAAAUUUAUCUUUUAUUCAAUCUUUUUUAUAUUGAUUUAGAUGUUUUUUGUAAAUAUUUUUAAAAAUUUUAGUAUAGUGAUAAAAAAUUAUUAAUUUUAAUUAGAAAAGUCUUUUUUUUUAUAGAAAUUAAUAGGUAAUCAUAUAUUGAUUUAGAUGUUUUUUGUAAAUAUUUUUUAAAAUUUUAUUAUAGUGAUAAAAAAAUUAUUAAUUUUAAACUAAUAUAUGAUAUUUAUUAUUUAUUAAUGCAAUUAUUUUUGUAAACAUUUUUCAAAAUUUUAUUUAAAUCAUAAAAAAAAUAUUUUUAGUUUUUUUAACAAUAAUAUAUAUAUAUAUAUAUAUAUAUAUAUAUAUAUAUAUAUAUAUAUAUAUAUAUAUUCUUUUAAGAUACAUGUUUAUAUAUUUUGUUGUAAUGAAAAGUUUUUUGUUUAUCAUACUAUUUUUUUUAAUUAAAAUUGUAUGUCAUUUUUGGUAAUUUAUUAAUAUUAAAAGUGUUUUUUUAUACUUAUACAACAUAUUAUCAAAAACACUAUUAAAAUCAUUUUUUUGAUUCUCAUAAAAGUAUUUUUCAUAGAAACACUACAGAAGAAAACACUUCAAAUAAAAACACUUCCACUAGAAUCACUGCCAAAUAGGCUCCAAGUGUUUCUUCAGAAAAGAUAACAAGUUAUUUUUCAUAUUUUUAAAAGUGCUUCUUAAAAUUUGUCAAAUACUUAAUUUUUUUUUUCAAAAACACUUUUUAGGCUAAAAACGUUUCUUAAAAUCACUCUAAAUGAAUUCAAAGAUUGUAUUUGAUAGUAUUUCCAUUUAAAGUGAUUUUUCAGAUUUUUAAAAAUGUUUUAUAAAUCUUACCAAACAUUUAAUUUUUUUUUAAAAAAAUACUUUUAAGCUAAAAACGAUUUCUAAAAUUGUUGUCAAAUGGAUUUUAAAAAUACAUUCGAUAGUAUUUUUACUAGAAAUGUUUGUAGUGAAAACAUUUUUAGAAAAAUCACCAAUCAAAUAUUUCUCAAAAAACAUUAUAAGUGAUUUUCUAGUAUCACAAGUAAUUCUUCAAAAUUUUAAAAGUAUUUCCUAAAUUUUGUUAGACAACCUUUUUUUUCUUUUUCAAAAACACUUUUUAAUUUAAAAAUGCUUCCUAAAGUUACUAUCAAGCAAACUCUAAUAAACAUAAACUACUUAUAGUUUGAAAAUAUUAUCUAAUUUUUUAAAAGCCAAGUUGAGGCGAAAAAAAAAUUAAUGCAAUUUAAUUAGAUAUAAUUUAUUUAAUUCCUAGAAAAUCAUAGAACUAGUAAAAUAGUACUCCGUUCUCGCUUGUUGGAGAGCUUUGUCAUCUUAAGAUGGGGUGGUGGUAAAAUGAUAACAAAAAUGAAAAUAAAAAUUUAAGAUAUAUUUCUUGAAAAUAAAAUUACAAACAUGCUUAUUUAUUUUUAAUGAUAACAAAAAUGAAAAUAAAAAUUUAAGAUGUAUCUAUUAAAAAUUAAAUUAUAAACAUGUUUAUUUUUAUUUAUUUUUUAAAUCAUUUGUAAUAUUUUUCAAAGAAAUAUGAUUUUGUAAAGAUAAUUUUAAGCAAAUAGUUCCUAAAAAAACCCUAAUAAACACUCUUUUAUGAAUGUGUUUGACAAUAUUUCUAUUUGAAAUAUUUUUAAUCUAAAUAUUUUUAAGAUAAUCACCAAUUAAAGGUUUUUCUAAAAAAACAUUAUAAAUUAUUUUUUAAUACCAUAAGUAGUUUUUCAGAUUUUUAGAAGCGUUUACUAAAUUUUGUUAAAUACUUAUACUUUAUUUAAUAAUUGUUUUUUAAAACAGUUUUGCAGAAUGGUUUUUAAUAACAAUUUUUAAAAAUUAUUGAAAUGUUUUAUAAAAUAAAAGUCUGUUUGGAAAAUUGAAAUGUUUUUAACUUAUUUUUAAUAUUUUUAAAUAUAUUUUAAAAAUAAUUUUAUAUCCCAUACUUUAUUUUUAAUAAUUCUACUUGCUUAAAACAAGUGAAAACAAUAAAAAGCAACUAAAAAAAUAUUCUCCGAAAGCAUGUUUUUUGUUCUUAAAAACAUAAAACAAAAAACAAUUUCUAGUUACCAAACAUGUUAUCUUAUUUUUUGUUCUAAAGAAUAAAAAACUGUUCUCAAAAAGAGUUACUAAACAUACCUUUAGGCCUUAUUUGAUAAUUGCUUUUGAAACUAAUUCUAAAAAAUAGUUUUUAAGAUUAAUUUUUGAAAACCGUUCUCCAAUAUUUUGUUGAAUAAAAAUAUGAUUAGGAACUAAAAUAUUUUUAAUCUGUUUUUAAUAUUUUUAAAAAUACUUUUUAUGUCUACAACUUUAUUUUAAUUAUUAUAUAUGUUUGUAUAAUUAUUUUUUUAAAACAACACUAAAAUAAUAGUGAAAACAACUAAAAGAUGUUCUCUAAAAAUAUUCUAUAUUUUAUUUUUGAGAAAAAAAACAAUUUUUGAUUGCCAAACGUAUUUUCCAGUUUUUUUCCUCUCUAAAAAACAGAAAACUGUUUUUGAAAACAGCUAUCAAACAUACCCUUAAUUUUUUUCAAAAAUACUUUUUAAGUCAUGAUUCCUAAAAUCAAUGUAUAACCUCUAGUUAAAAUUGCUUCUCAAAUAUGAAUUUGAUGACUGUACCGUCCAUGGUGAUCAGUUACCUUACAGCCCAGUCGACCAGGCUAAAUAAUCCAAAAAUAAUAAUAAUAAUAACUUCCAACUACAACUCAUGCCAAAGAAACUUCCUAAAUAUCAACACACAUUCACCACCCAGUCCUAAAUCCUAUAUGGAAUCAAACUGCAUACUGUUAUUUAGAGAUGAUAUUCUGAACCAAACAAACCCAGACAAGAAGCUCCAACCAUGGCUGCUCUGCAUUCAGAAUGGAACCUCCACCGGAGUUACCCCCAUUUUUUCAAGUGCAGAUUGGAACAUCAUACCCACCAUUCAAUCGGUACACCUUACUCUUUUAUAUGGUCUUUGUCUAUAUAUUUGUCUGGAGUGUGGCAUGUGGAUGGUCUAAAUUUGAUAAUCCUUAGCCAUGACCUUUAACAAAGCUACAAAUAUAAUGACCCUCACAGUGAAUCAUCAAAUGUGAAAUAUCAUAAUCAUCCUAUACAUAUAUAAUAUCCUCGUUGUGGCCUUCACGGGUCUAAAACAAACCCCCACACAUGCAAAAGAGGCCAAUUCAUCCACAAGUGGGAGUUUAUAUAUAACCCACUAUAAAUAUGCCCUCAAACAUGGCCUCAUGCAUCCUUAGGGCUUAGAGUCAUCUCCCAGCUUAGGACACUGCAUAAAAAUGAAGAUUUCUCAUUACUACUGCAUCACUAGUCUCCUGCUUCUGAUUCUCUUCUGCUUUUCAGAGGGCUGGCGCGCUGAUCCCACAUAUGGGUUCACUGUUGUGCCCUUGACAGAAUGGAAUUUUGAACUGCAAAAGCCAUAUGAUGUGCCGCUGGAGGAGCGCUACAGCUAUGAAAAUGGAGUAAGGAAGCUGUGGGUGUAUGCUGAUGAUAAGCCCCAUGACCCUAACAGUCUCACUCAGCCACGGACCGAAGUCCGCAUUCGGGUACUCUUCCUCUCUCUUCCUCUGCCUAUACACCAUGCUUAAACACAGUACUCUCAUUGUGAUCUUCUUGCAGGGACUUGACUACUCAUCUGGGGUUUGGCAGUUUGAAGGGUAUGGCUUUGUGCCAAAUGGAACCUCUGGUGUGACUGUCUCCCAGAUACAUGGUGCAGCUCAGGCCGCUACAACUUUGAUUCUGAGGAUCUACAAUGGUGAUAUGAGGUACUAUAGUGCUGAUCUGAUAGCCACUGGUAUGUAUGAUAGGUGGUUCAGGCUUAAUGUCAUCCACGACGUCGAUGGGGGGAAGGUGACAGUGUUCAUCGAUGGCGUUCAGAAAUUUCAAGUGAAGGAUAAAGGGCCAGGAGACUUGUAUUUCAAGUGUGGAGUUUAUGCUGCCCCGGGUAAUAUCAGCUACUGCAUGGAAUCAAGGUGGAGAGACAUCAAGAUUUACAAAAAGUAAUGGUGAAGGAUUGAGAUCUUUGUAGUCUGUAUUGAGAAAACUCUUGAUUAGCUAUUAUGCAGAUGGACUUUUUCUCUCAAAUGAUUUUGGGAAGGACUGAAUGAUCAAGCUUAGUAAGUCAUGGACUCAUUUUCCAAUCAUGAAUCCAAUUUGAGGUCAUUGAAUCAUUAAAAAAUUGGUCCAAAAUCAACACACCAGUUAGGUUCCAAGUAAUAAUAAAAAACUAAGAAACAUCCAAGGAGCAUAGUCCAAUCUAAGUCACAAAAUGUGUAUAAACUAUAUCCUGAUUUUGAUUUGGAAUCAAAUACGCCAUUGUUUCUACUUUAGAAUCGGUGAGCUGGGCCAACUGCUCGACUCUGAGAAGUUGACAAGGAAUAACUGCAACAAGUUUCAGCCAACAGUUGUGUGCAAUGAAUCUUAUGUUCCAAAAUUUCCAGGAUGCUGGAACAGAUGACUGAAACAUCAUCAUGGUUUCAGCCUAAGUGGGCUAUUCCCAGAAAAAGAGAAGCCACAUCUAGAAGGUUAAUGCUAUUAGUUUUUGAAUCAUUCUUCUUAUAAUGAGAAUGCUUUAAUGCCAAAGUUUUUGCAAUGAGAAGCAGUUUUUAGAACCCCACAGAACUUAAAAGAGAGGAAAGCAAAAGGGAUCCAAAACUGUUUUCAUAAAACAGUUUCUGAAAUGUUUCUGUCUUGUAUAACAACCAUGGUUAAAUUAGAUUGUCCAGCUGCAAUCUUGUGCAAGUCCUCUUCCAUGAAUGCGAAGGCGGGCUUGGACCUUCUGUCUUAGAGCCAUGGCUUGCAGAUUCAGCUUAUUAACAGUUGGAAAACAAGUAGACCAGGAUAAGACUAGCUGAGCUGCACUCUUAUAAUACAGCAAAAGAUUAUGUAUCCCUUUUAUGUUGCCUAGCAAAUUUUACCUCUGUUUAUGGUAUUUUUCUUUCUUUUCAAGUUCUCAACUAGAAUCAGUCCAUUAAAACCUAUCUUUUCAACUGUAUUUCAAUUUUCACCAGAUGGUGGAGAUUAUGGCCCUAGAGAUUCAUGUAUUGGCUGGCCCCCAAUUAGCUCCUCAACAAACUUGACUGCUUCUCCUUCAGGCUUUGCUAUUGUUUAAUGUGAGGAUCUGCAUCCUCCAUGAAAAAAACAAAACAAAACAAAGUAGUCUUCUUCAUAGACCCCCUCAAUGAAGUCAAUAAUUUAAUCAUGUAGUACCUAUAAUUUUGAGCAGUAGACUCUAUACUCCCAAUGCUUCCAAGACUACGACAAAAAUAAAAGUUUUAGUACUAAAAAAUUUCUUUCUUUAAGUGUUCUAAAGAAUAUUUGAUCACAAAAUUCAGAUGGAUACUCUCUCCAACUAUAAAUUGAAAUGUCAAUGGAGACUAGGAAAAUUAAUAAGAAAGUUGAUAGUGGGGGGCACUUUCAAGUGACCUUCAUGAAAGGAGAGGAAAUGUUAAACAUAAACAGCCUUGUGUAAUCUUUGGAGCUGAUUAUAAACUUCAAACAAGGCUCUCACAUAGGGAAUAGAUGAUUAAGAAGAUGGUCAAAUACUCAUCUACAUGGUUCUGCCUAUUUUACUCAUCUCUUCUUUGGAAAUUUCACAAGUACUGCCAUGUUGACUGAUGCUGACCUUUUUAACAUGAGCUAUCAGUUUUAAGAAACAUAUGCUGUAACACCCUUUAGACGAAGUAAACUAGAUCGAUUAGGUAUAACAAAGCUCCAAAUUACUAGGCAAAGAUAUGACUGCACCUGGGGACCUGUAUUUCAAAUGUGGGGUUUAUGCAGCACCAGCUAAUUCAAGCAACUACAUGGAAUCAAGAUGGAAGGGAUCAAGAUAUUCAAAAAAUCAAGUCGGGAAUUGCAGUAACUAUGGCUAGAGUCAUGUAAACUUUGUUAUGUUGUUAUCCUAUAGAACUAUAGAAGCUUGUAUACUCUCAUGUGAAAGAAAGCAGCAGUGUAGAACAUGUCAUUUCCAUCUUUAAAAUCAGAAAUCACAGACUUCAGGCUUGUACUAGAGAAAAGAUGACAAAUUAAACAAAACAUAACAAAACAACAUGGGUUGAUGCCUCAUGGUAAGUGGCAACCUCAGCCACUUACAUUCCAGUUUUCAGUCCAUUAACCAUAGAGCCUAAAGCUUGAACAACAGCAUAAGAAAUCCAAAAUUGGGCUCUCUAUCUUGAGCAGUAACAUUUUGCCCAUCUGGGUAUGCCAGCAAGAAGAAGAAAGUUCACAAAAACUACAGUUCUCUCUGGCAUCUUACAGUUCAUUUGGCUUUACAUCAGAAACUUCCUUGGUAGGCAAAUUGCAAAAGAAAUGCAUUCAAGCAACAGCAAAAUUGAAGGGAAGGGAAAUUUUUUUGAAGAAAUCUUAAUUUGUCGUUUGAUAGUGUUAUUGAAAUAGAAAGAAAAUAUGGUGGAAAUCCAAAGGGGUUUGUAGCAUUUGAAACUCUUUAUUCUAAUUUUUCAAAAAAAGAAUCAGUGUGGGAAAAGGAAGAAUAGGCAAGUACCAGUAGAAGCAAAACUACUACGUCAAUAGGAAUUCAAGCAAAUGAUGAUAACUGAUAUCAGCAACACAAAUUAAAUUGAGUAAACAAGCGCGAUCCAUUAAUUCCACAUCCUCAAUUAGGUACUCUAAUCAACAAGAAGGAAGACAAAAGAAACCUAAUCCUCUUCUUAUACAAGCUCAGAAAGGAAAUCUAUGGUAAUAUCUUGACUAUUAUUAUCAAUCACCUUGAACCGAUCUAGAAGGCCAUGAAUGAAAUGAAUGAAAUGCUGAAGUGAAUAUAUUUUUUCUCUCUUUGUUUUUUUUUUUUUUGCUAAAUGGCACAUUUGUACAGCAUUAUGAGG
rnacentral:lncRNA from 1 species